rnacentral:lncRNA from 1 species
GGCACUGUGGGAGGAGUGUUGGCUGUGGUAGGAGCAAGGGCGGACGGGGAGCAGGGGCGACCGAGCGUGGAGCCAGGAGCGGGGCGGAGGGGCGGCUGGGCGCGUCGGAUGCAGCGGGGCAGAGGAGGAUUAAGCGGAGGGCGUGGGUUGCUGCGUGGAGGAAAGUUUAGUGGCUUAACCGUACACUAACCGCGUGGUUGAUGCUAAACAUUAAACAUUGAGAUGAUUUUGAUCGUUAGAUCUCUCCAUUAGACGGUUGAGAUGUAUUGGUUCUCUGCCCUCUCAUGUUUUUAUAGGGGUAGUAGAUGCUUAAUUUGCUGCUCAUGUGUUGUCCCUUCUGUUGCCAGGACGAAAUGCUUCUCGGAAUUCUUAAAGAGGAAGACAAUGGAGCCAUGAUGUUGUUGUGCAACAGGCUAUGUUUUUUGCAAUACCAUUUGUCUUGGCUGUGUAUCUUACUUUGUGUGUGCUGGGAUACUCAAAAAGCUAUCUCUGUAAUUUAAAUCUGUGUUAUGUUGUCUGGCGUGUGUAACCUUAUUUUGUGUGUGCUGGGAUACUCAAAAAGAUAUCUGUCUAAUUUAAAUCUGUGUUAUGUUGUCUGGCGUGUGUAAUCUUAUUUUGUGUGUGCUGGGAUAUUCAAAAAGAUAUCUGUCUAAUUUAAAUCUGUGGUGUAUUCUUCACUGAACUUUACUUGUAGUACAGUUUCAGGUCUAAAAAGGUUAAACGACCUAAUAAUACAUAAUGGAUUGGACAUGGGCUUUGGCCCAGUAAAAUAAAUGUGUAUACAGUUUUAUGGGCCGGCCUUAAUGGGCUUGGCUUGCCAUAAAUUGUGGACCCACCGACUCUCGAAGCUCUAGCCAUUAGAGAAGCCUUGGCACUGGCGGAUGAUCUAUAUUUGAGGCGGGUUGAAGUUGCAUCGGAUUGCAAAGUGGUCGUGGAAGACUUACAGAAGGACAAUCUUGCGAGCUACGGUGCAAUUGUACAUGAAAUAAUAGCCCACUCUUUAGUUUUUGAGUUCUGUAAUUUUAAACAUGAGUCUAGGAGCUCCAAUUAUAAAGCUCACAACUUAGCGAGGCAUGCAUUAUCUCUCGGUGGUGGCCGCUGUGUCUGGUUAGGCCAUCCCGGAAACCUACCUUCCGUCCCUGUAAACAUUGAGACAAAUUAAUAAAGCCUCGUGACGUUGCCUCAAAAAAAAAAACUACCAAUGCCACGUCAGAUCUGGUGGCCAUGUGGUUGAUGCCACAUCAGAUCCUAUGUGGAUGAGGCACACAGGUAUUGACCAAAAAAUUUGUCAUUAAAAACUAUGACCUAUAAUUCUUUGUCUUAAAAACUACGACCAAAACUUAGAAAAGGUCAUGUUUGUUUGUUCUUGACGGCCAACUGUUGACCUACUCAGUUUGGUCAAAAAAAGGUCAUACCUUGAAAACAACAACGAUUUAUUGACCAAAAUGGUGGGUCACUAUCGAUCGUAUUUCUUGUAGUGAACAAUUUUGGUAACAAUGUGUAUAGAGGAAAUUUUAAUCCUAGGCCUUAUCCUAGUAAUCCCUCUAAUAAUUAUGGUAAUUCCUACAACAAUUCUUAUGGAAAUUAUAAUAAGAUGCCUUCUGAUUUUGAAUCUGAUAUUAAAGAAUUUAUUACUUCGCAAAAGAAUUUUAAUGCUAUGAUUGAAGAAAAAUUGCUUAAGAUUGAUGAUUUGGCUAGGAACGUCGAUAGAAUUGCUGUUGAUGUUAAUUCUUUGAACCUUAGAACUAUUCCACCUAAGCAUGAUAUCAAUGAGUCUCUCAAAGCCAUGAGAAUUUCCAUUGAUGAGUGCAAAGAAGGAACCGCUAGGAUGCGUGCUAAGAAAGAUGCCUUUAUAAGAGCAUGUUUUUCUAGUUGCUACGAAAAUAAAGAUGAAGAUCUAAAAGUUAUUGAUGUGUUCCCUAUUAAAUCUUUGUUUUGCAAUAUGAAUCUUGAUAAUGAUGGGACUGAAUAUGAUCCACAUUUACCUAGAAGGCAUUCCAAGAAUUCGAAAUAUGCUGAUCUUGAUGCUAAAUUUGAUAAAAGUGGGAUUGAAGAAAUUAAAACCCUAGAUGUUGCUAAACCCACUAUUAUGGAUUUCAAGGAAUUUAACUAUGAAAAUUGCUCUUUGAUUGAUUGUAUUUCCUUGUUACAAUCCGUACUAAAUUCUCCUCAUGCUUAUAGUCAAAAUAAAGCGUUUACUAAACAUAUCAUUGAUGCCUUGAUGCAAUCUUAUGAAGAAAAACUUGAAUUGGAAGUUUCUAUCCCUAGAAAACUUUAUGAUGAGUGGGAACCAACUAUUAAAAUUAAAAUUAAAGAUCAUGAAUGCUAUGCUUUAUGUGAUUUGGGUGCUAGUGUUUCCACGAUUCCAAAGACUUUAUGUGAUUUGUUAGGCUUCCGUGAUUUUGAUGAUUGCUCUCUAAACUUGCACCUUGCGGAUUCCACUAUUAAGAAACCUAUGGGAAGAAUUAAUGAUGUUCUUAUUGUUGCAAAUAGGAAUUAUGUGCCAAUAUAUUUUAUUUUUCUUGACAUAGAUUGCAAUCCUUCAUGUCCUAUUAUUCUUAGUAGACCUUUCCUUAGAACGAUUGGUGCAAUUAUUGAUAUGAAGGAAGGAAAUAUUAUAUUCCAAUUUCCAUUAAGGAAAGGCAUGGAACACUUUCCUAGAAAGAAAAUUAAAUUACCUUAUGAAUUUAUUAUGAGAUCCACUUAUGGAUUUCCUACCAAAGAUGGCAAUACCUAGAUCUAUUCUUACUUGUUAUGCCUAGCUAGGGGUGUUAAACGGUAGCGCUUGUUGGAGGCAACCCAAUUUUAUUUUUAUUCCUUGAUUUUUUGCUCCUGUUUAGUAAUAAAUAGUUUAUCUAGCCUCUUUUUUGGUUGUGUUUUUUAUGUUUAAUUAGUGUUUGUGCCAAGUAGAACCGUUGGGAAGACUUGGGGAAAGUCUUGCUGAACUUGCUGUAAAAAAACAGAAACUUUAGCUCUCACGAGAACUGCUGUCAUUUUUAUUUGGAGAGUGCUAUUUAGUUAAUUCUUUUUGAAGAUGAUUAAUAGAUAAAGUCCUUACAUCCAUCAAUUUAUUUUAGAAUUUUUGGGGUUCCAGAUCUUGCGCUAGCUACAGAUUACUACAAACUAUUCUGUUUUUGACAGAUUCUGUUUUUCGUGUGUUGUUUGCUUAUUUUGAUGAAUCUAUGGCUAGUAAAAUAGUUUAUAAACCAUAGAGAAGUUGGAAUACAGUAGGUAUAACACCAAUAUAAAUAAAGGAUGAAUUCAUUACAGUACCUUGAAGUGGUCUUUUAUUUUCUUUCGCUAACGGAACUCACGAGAUUUCCUACUUUAAGUUUUGUGUUGUGAAGUUUUCAAGUUUUGGGUAAAGAUUUGAUGGAUUAUGGAACAAGGAGUGGCAAGAGCCUAAGCUUGAGGAUGCCCAUGGAACCCCCAAGAUAAUCUAAGGACAUCUAAAAUCCAAAGCUUGGGGAUGCCCCGGAAGGCAUCCCCUCUUUCGUCUACUUCUAUCGGUAACUUUACUUGGAGCUAUAUUUUUAUUUACCACAUGAUAUGUGUUUUGCUUGGAGCGUCUUGUAUGAUUUGAGUUUUUGCUUGUUAGUUUACCACAAUCAUCCUUGCUGUACACACCUUUUGAGAGAGCCAUACAUGAUUUGGAAUUUGUUAGAAUACUCUAUGUGCUUCACUUAUAUCUUUUGAGUUAUAUAAUUUUGCUCUAGUACUUCACUUAAAUGUUUUAGAGCACGGAGGUGGAUUUGUUUUAUAGAAACUAUUGAUCUCUAAUGCUUCACUUAGAUUAUUUUAAGAGUCUUAAUAGCAUGGUAAUUUGCUUAAAAUCUUAAUAUGCUUGGUAUACAAGAUUAAUAAUAAAACUUUCUUAUGAGUGUGUUGAAUACUAUGAUAAGUUUGAUACUUGAUAAUUGUUUUGAGAUAUAGAGAUGGUGAUAUUAAAGUCAUGCUAGUUGAGUAGUUCUGAAUUUGAGAAAUACUUGUGUUGAAGCUUGUGAUUCCCGUAGCAUGCACGUAUGGUGAACCGUUAUGUGAUUCGGAGCAUGAUUUAUUUAUUGAUUGUCUUCCUUAUGAGUGGCGGUCGGGGACGAGCGAUGGUCUUUUCCUACCAAUCUAUCCCCCUAGGAGCAUGCGCGUAAUACUUUGCUUUGAUAACUUGUAGAUUUUUGCAAUAAGUACAUGAGUUUUUUAUGACUAAUGUUGAGUCCAUGGAUUAUACGCACUCUCACCCUUCCACCUUUGCUAGCCUCUCUAACACCGCACACCUUUCGCCGGUAUCAUACACCCACCAUAUACCUUCCUCAAAACAGCCACCAUACCUACAUAUUAUGGCAUUUCCAUAGCCAUUCCGAGAUAUAUUGCCAUGCAACUUUCCACCGUUCCGUUUAUUAUGACACAUCCCAUCAUUGUCAUAUUGCUUAUCAUGAUCAUGUAGUUGACAUCGUAUUUGUGGCAAAGCCACCAUUCAUAAUUCUUUCAUACAUGUCACUCAUACAUCAUUGCAUAUCCCGGUACACCGCCGGAGGCAUUCACAUAGAGUCAUAUUUUGUUCUAAGUAUCGAGUUGUAAGAAAAAUAAAGUGUGAUGAUCAUCAUUAUUAGAGCAUUGUCCCAGUGAGGAAAGGAUGAUGGAGACUAUGAUUCCCCCACAAGUCGGGAUGAGACUCCGGAUGAAAAAUAAAUAAAAGAAGCCAAAGAAGCCCAAAUAAAAAAAAGAGAAAGAAAAGAGGCCAUAAAAAAGAGAAAAGGCCCAAAUUAAAAAAAUGAGAGUAAAAGAGAGAAGGGACAAUGUUACUAUCCUUUUACCACACUUGUGCUUCAAAGUAGCACCAUGAUCUUCAUAGCAGAGAGUCUCUCAUGUUAUCACUUUCAUAUACUAGUGGGAAUCUUUCAUUAUGGAACUUGACUUGUAUAUUACAAUGAUGGGCUUUCUCAAAUUGCCCUAAGUCUUCAUGAGCAAGCAAGUUGGAUGCACACCCGCUUAGUUUUUUUAGCUUUCAUAUACUUAUAGCUCUAGUGCAUCCGUUGCAUGGCAAUCCCUACUCACUCACAUUGAUAUCUAUUGAUGGGCAUCUCCAUAGCCCGUUGAUACGCCUAGUUGAUGUGAGACUAUCUUCCCCUUUUUGUCUUCUCCACAACCGCCAUUCUAUUCCACCUAUAGUGCUAUAUCCAUGGCUCACGCUCAUGUCUUGCGUGAAAAUUGAAAAAGUUUUGAGAAUGUCAAAAGUAUGAAACAAUUGCUUGGCUUGUCAUCGGAGUUGUGCAUGAUUUAAAUAUUUUGUGUGGUAAAGAUAGAGCAUAGCCAGACUAUAUGAUUUUGUAGGGAUAACUUUCUUUAGCCAUGUUAUUUUGAGAAGACAUAAUUGCUUUGUUAGUAUGCUUGAAGUAUUAUUAUUUUUAUGUCAAUAUGAACUUUUGUCUUGAAUUUUUCGGAUCUGAAUAUUCAUACCACAAUUAAGAAGAAUUACAUUAAAAUUAUGCCAAGUAGCACUCCGCAUCAAAAAUUCUGUUUUUAUCAUUUACCCACUCGAGGACGAGCAGGAAUUAAGCUUGGGGAUGCUUGAUACGUCUCCAACGUAUCUAUAAUUUUUGAUUGCUCCAUGCUAUUAUCUACUGUUUUGGACAUUAUUGGGCUUUAUUAUCCACUUUUAUAUUAUUUUUGGGACUAACCUAUUAACCGGAGGCCCUUCCCAGAAUUGCUGUUUUUUGCCUGUUUUAGGGUUUCGAAGAAAAGGAAUAUCAAACGGAGUCCAAACGGAAUGAAACCUUUGGGAACGUGUUUUUAGGAAGAUUAUGAUCCGGGGGACUUGGACCCUACAUCAUGAAAGAAAACAGGAGGGCACGAGGUAGGGGGCACGCCCUCCACCCUCGUCGCCCCCCUGUUGCUCCACCGACGUACUCAUUCCUCCUAUAUAUACCUACGUACCCCCAAACGAUCAAAUACGGAGCCAAAACCCUAAUUCCACCACCAUAACUUUCUGUAUCCACGAGAUCCUAUCUUGGGGUCUGUUCCGGAGCUUCGCCGGAGGGGGCAUCGAUCACGGAGGGCUUCUACACCAACACCGUAGCCUCUCUGAUGAAGUGUGAGUAGUUUACCUCAGACCUACGGGUCCAUAGUUAGUAGCUAGAUGGCUUCUUCUCUCUUUUUGGAUCUCAAUACAAUGUUCCUCCCCUCUCUUGUGGAGAUCUAUUCGAUGUAUUCUUCUUUUUGCGGUGUGUUUGUUGAGACCGAUGAAUUCUGGGUUUAUGAUCAAGUCUAUCUAUGAAUAAUAUUUGAAUCUUCUCUGAAUUCUUUUAUGCAUGAUUGGUUAUCUUUGCAAGUCUCUUCGAAUUAUCAAUUUGGUUUGGCCUACUAGAUUGAUCUUUCUUGCAAUGGGAGAAGUGCUUAGCUUUGGGUUCAAUCUUGCAGUGUCCUUUUCCAGUGACAGUAAGGGCAGCAAGGCACGUAUUGUAUUGUUGCCAUCUAGGAUAACAAGAUGGGGUUUUCUUCAUAUUGCAUGAGUCUAUCCCUCUACAUCAUGUCAUCUUGCUUAAGGCGUUACUCUAUUUUUAACUUAAUACUCUAGAUGCAUGCUGGAUAGCGGUCGAUGAGUGGAGUAAUAAUAGUAGAUACAGGCAGGAGUCGGUCUACUUGUCUCGGACGUGAUGCCUAUAUACAUGAUCAUACCUAGAUAUUCUCAUAACUAUGCUCAAUUCUGUCAAUUGCUCAACAGUAAUUUGUUCACCCACCGUAGAAUACUUAUGCUCUCGAGAGAAGCCACUAGUGAAACCUAUGGCCCCGGGUCUAUCUUUAUCAUAUUAAUCUCCUAAUACUUAGUUACUUCCUUUGCUAUUUACUUUGCCUUUAUUUUACUUUGCAUCUUUAUCAUAAAAAUACCAAAAAUAUUAUCUUAUCAUAUCUAUCAGAUCUCACUCUCGUAAGUGGCCCUAUAGGGAUUGACAACCCCUAUUUCGUUGGUUGCGAGGAUUUAUUUGUUUUGUGCAGGUGCGAGGGACUCGCGCGUAGCCUCCUACUGGAUUGAUACCUUGGUUCUUAAAAACUGAGGGAAAUACUUACGCUACUUUGCUGCAUCAUCCCUUCCUCUUCGGGGAAAACCAACGCAGUGCUAAAAGAGGUAGCAGCAGCCUAUUCAUAAGCAUGGACAAAACCACACCAGACUGAGCUCCAAAAAGAUUCUCGGCAUGGAACCGGAGCAGAACUAUCCCCUGGAAGCUCGAGUUCUACCCCAGCAAGAACGGACCCAUCCUCCGUGAUUUCACACAGAUAGGAAAGCGCUGGCAAAGCAUACCGAGCCACCACGGCUUCCAAAAUGGGUAUAACAGUUGAAAUAAGAGCACACAUCCUGCUCACACGUAACGAAAGUCAAAAGGAAAAACUGAAAAAUAACACGACCCCCGGGGCAGACCUGGAACAACGAGAUUAUCAGUACAUCAACAGCCAUGACAACAUGCAUAGACAAACAAAUAUAUCUGAACCCACAAGUAACGCACACGCAAUGGAAAAGGAGAGCAAACCUUCAGGAGCAGUAGCAGGCCACAGAUUCAGAAACAAAGCAGUUUUCCCAACCUGCAAAACAAACAUAGAAAAAACCAUUAGAACACAACAAGUCACGGAGCACAUCUAUACUCCAUCAAAGGUAGUAAACAAGUAUAGAGCAACAUGACGACACAUCUAUACUCCAUCAAAGGUAGUAAACACGACAACAUUCUUCUUUUAACCAAAGGAAACAACAUCACUCAGGAUGCCAAAACACCAUCCACUAUAUAUAUAUAUAUAUAUAUAUAUAUAUCAGCUUUUAUCGCUGAGCAAUCUAACCGUAGACAUGAAAGAAGCGAAGGACCAUCAAUUAAGCUCACACACCGUGUUUUUUCAGGCAAAGUAACAGACAGAAGAAGUAUAAACCUUCAGGGUCACUGCAGAGGCAGCAAGCAAGCAAAACGGACUAAGAACAACACUUUCUCAGACCUAAUCUUUCGGGCUAUCCCUAAGCAGCACAUCUCUUGAUAAUCUAGAAACAGAGACAAAGAGGCAAAAGAGCAGCAUAUUACCAGAACGACGAAGCCGAACCAGAACAACAACGAGCAAACGAACACGGACGAACAGCCAACAAACCUGAGAACAAACCAAAACACAAUUCGUACUCAUAUUAGUCGCCGACGAACAACACGAAGCAUGCACAGAUAACGGAACGCGAAAAUGCCAAAGUAGAGCACAUGAUAGCAGGCAACCAUCCUAUCAAGCAGCACCCAAGCAUUUCAACAAACACCUCAAAGGCAUAUGCCCACACAGAGGCAGAAGAGGCGAGCACUAACCUGGACAACAAGAAUGGAAUGACGCACGCUUGCACGCAAGAGCCAACGGGAAAAACUGGCAGCAAACUGCGCACCAAUGAAGCAAACACAAACAAAGCUGGUCAGUAAUCAAGAAAAAGGAGCGGCAGAAAGGAACAAGGAAAGGAUAAGAGGAUGAACCUCAAGCAACACCACCCAUGGAGCAACGGGCGUCCAUGGCGACAACCGCAGUGCAAGCUGUUUGAACUGGACGAACCUAGGCAAACAGGAGAAGACGCGGCGGUGUGGAAGCGUGGACAAAAGCGAGCGGACGAAGCGAGCGUGGAGAAAAUGAGGGACAGAACAAGCGGGAAAGGGAAAACUGGAGACAAAAUACCCCCCGGCCACAGCGAUGGCACGGGCAACCCUCACAGAGACUCAUGGGAACCCACCACACAUGCAUUGACACGCGGCCUGGCUGUCGGGCCCAGGGGUCCCAGAGCCCACCGUCAUAGACUGCAAUGAACUCACAGAGGGUACCCACCAGACUGGGCACCACCGAUGCACACACUGGUCACGCAUGCCCACGCGGCAGCGCAGACACGUCCACCGCCCCCCCUCGCCCACGCGUGGGGCACAAUAACAAGCCACCAGCGAGCGUACACACAAACACAUGCACAGGAAUACACAAACGAGCAACAGAACGGUGGCCCCGUCCCAGCGCCCGCCCCACAGUCAGCGACACGCGGCAGAGCACACGAGCGCCCGAGCAAAUCCUGUCCAACCACCAAUCCGGGCAGAGCAAGCACCCACCCCGCCCAGGCACGGACAGAUGGACGACGGGUCAAAGCAAACACAGGCAAACACUCUAGCCCACUGACGCGCGAGGCCAACGAACGCGGGACCCAAGCAGCAGCCAGCAGCGCCGGCAUGGAAGACGGUAAUGGAUGACAUGGGGAUAAAAGAAGCGGCAGUACAGCCCGGAAAUGACGUGGCAUGACGCUGCCGUUCGCCCACGAGACAAGCGAGGCGAGACCGCUCGCCCACUCUCCAUGCGCCGCUCGCCCAUCCACUAUCGACAUGACCAAAUCAUGAGGUCAGCCAUGGCAAUCCAGACAAAACGAACAACGCGCACACGGGAAAGACACACCAAGAAGCCGACGCGCGGGACCAUGCGGCAGGCAGGCCCACCUACAACCGCACCACCAGCGAGCGAGAGGGAAAACAAGGGGCAGCGCAAAACCCGCACCCACGCAGCAACCACGACGCGCGCUUCGCGCCCACGCAGCAACCACGACGCGCGCUUCGCGUGCACGUGGCGCGGCAGGAGCGGCUGCCUCGAGCACCGAAGAAACCAGCACCCAGCCAAUUCGACCCAGCGCCAGGCCCAUGCGUCAUCCCUGGCUAGGAUCUACCGCACGGUUAAAACUACAGUGGUCAAUUUCAGCGAAGAUCCGACGGACAGGACGCAAAAAAGACUCCAUUGACCACGAUCUAACGGCCAUCGAAGGAAGCGGUUUGGGGAGCCCUGUCCAUGCGAGUUGCCCAGCCUCAUUAUUUUUUUAAAUGUCAUGUUGCCAAUAUGCUUAAUUGGCAUUGCAUGAGGCUGGAUAAUACUAUCUAUAAUACCCUCACUACAGGAAGAAAACUAGAAAUACUACGGUGAAGGAUUCAAUCCAAGUUGGGAGAUCUCCUCCUGCCUCCAGCCCCCCUCAUCCAAUCCUAACCUAGUUGUCACAACCCUCUCCCCUAUCACCUAUAGGCCCUUUCCUGUCGUCGCUUGAGGUCGUUGUCGACCAAGGCCAUGCAACAACCAAGGACGGCGAUGGCGAGGAAACCUCUCCUGACUCCAUUUUCCGUUGCCUUUGGUCUCAAGAUGGUGUCCCGGUCAUUCCUCCAGUUACUGGUGGUAGUCAUGGCUUCGGCCUCCUAUGGUGGCACCCUAAUUUGACCGACGAUCGCAACUCAUCCAUCCACCUUAUCCUCUAGGCCGUCACCGGACGGAUUGAGGUUCUACCUGCCGAUGGAUCUGGUUUUCCAACACCUUCUUGGACGUUUAUUGUUCGAUGCCCUCUCGCCCCUCCCACUCGGUUGUCUCGGUCCAGAUCCGGUCGGCCCAUUGCUGGAUCGUGUAUCCUACUCUGCACCCCACUCAUUUAUCACCUCGGCAUCUUGCUCUCUGACACCGGAGAUGGUCAUUGUUCGUUCAGGACAUGCACAUUGCUCUCCCCAGUCCCUGUUGUCUACCACCUCCUUUGUCGCAUUGAUCCCUCCCUGUUGGGUCUCCCCUCUUAUGCUCGAGUUGGUGGUGGCCGGUUAGGUUUUGUAGGGUGCUUGCUGCGUGGAGUCUCUAUGGUUGCCUUCUCAUGACUGACGCAUUGCUUGUGCAUGAUCUUCUUCAGACUCUACUCAAAGAAUUACAAGUUGAAGCACCUCCAACAACAAAAUUGCUUGAGAAACGUAUCUACCCCAUAGAAAUACAUACCUACGACCUCCAUAUGGAGGUAGAAACACUUAACACAAAAUCUCACAAAAACAAGAUGGUUUGCGGACAACACUAUAAUAAAUUUUGCAGCUAGAGGUGAAUUAGUUGGCUAGUCCCAUGGGAUAAAGCAUGCCACCACUUGCAUCCCUACCCAUAUCUCCUCUCUCUCCAUAUCUUCACCCUUCCCCUCCCCUUCAUGCACAAUGCGACAACUGCCCUAGAACUCCCCUCCCCCUUUCAACAUUUGAAAUAGGUCUAGACAUGUCAUACUACACGCGCGUCAGUGAGGACAUGGUCAUGAUGUUGCUUGAUAACCCACAAGUAUAGGGGUUCGCAACAGUUUUCGAGGGUAGAGUAUUCAACCCAAAUUUAUUGAUUCGACACAAGGGGAGCCAAAGAAUAUUCACAAGUAUUAGCAGCUAAGUUGUCAAUUCAACCACACCUGGAAACUUAAUAUCUGCAGCAAAGUGUUUAGUAGCAAAGUAAUAUGAUAGUAGUGGUAACGAUAGCAAAAGUAACGGUAGCAAAAGUAAUGUUUUUGGUAUUUUGUAGUGAUGAUAACAAUAGCAACGGAAAAGUAAAUAAGCGAAGAACAAUAUAUGGAAAGCUCGUAGGCAAUGGAUCAGUGAUGGAGAAUUAUGUCAGAUGUGGUUCAUCAUGUAACAUUCAUAACAUAGGGUGACACAGAACUAGCUCCAAUUCAUCAAUGUAAUGUAGGCAUGUAUUCCGAACAUAGUCAUACGUGCUUAUGGAAAAGAACUUGCAUGGCAUCUUUUGUCCUACCCUCCUAUGGCAGCGGGGUCCUAAUGGAAACUAAGGGAUAUUUAGGCCUCCUUUUAAUAGAGUACCAGACCAAAGCAUUAACAUAUAGUGAAUACAUGAACUCCUCAAACUACGGUCAUCACCGGGAGUGGUCCCGAUUAUUGUCACUUCGGGGUUGCCGGAUCAUAACACAUAGUAGGUGACUAUAGACUUGCAAGAUAGGAUCAAGAACUCACAUAUAUUCAUGAAAACAUAAUAGGUUCAGAUCUGAAAUCAUGGCACUCGGGCCCUAGUGACAAGCAUUAAGCAUAGCAAAGUCAUAGAAACAUCAAUCUCAGAACAUAGUGGAUACUAGGGAUCAAACCCUAACAAAACUAACUCGAUUAUAUGAUAAAUCUCAUCCAACCCAUCACCGUCCAGCAAGCCUACGAUGGAAUUACUCACGCACGGCGGUGAGCAUCAUAAAAUUGGUGAUGGAGGAUGGUUGAUGAUGAUGACGACGACGGAUUCCCCUCUCCGGAGCCCCGAACGGACUCCAGAUCAGCCCUCCCGAGAGAGUUUAGGGCUUGGCGGCGGCUCCGUAUCGUAAAACAUGAUGAAUCUUUUUUCUCUGAUUUUUUUCUCCCCGAACACGAAUAUAGGGAGUUGGAGUUGAGGUCGGUGGAGCUCUAGGGGGCCCACGAGGCAGGGGGGCGCGCCCCCACCCUCAUGGCUAGGGUGUGGCCCCCCUGGCCUUGAUUCUUUGCCAGUAUUUUUUAUUAUUUCCAAAAAUAAUCUCUGUGGAGUUUCAAGUCAUUCCGAGAACUUUUUUUUUCUGCACAUAAAUAACAUGAUGGCAAUUAUGCUGAAAACAGCGUCAGUCCGGGUUAGUUCCAUUCAAAUCAUGCAAAUUAGAGUCCAAAAAAGGGCAAAAGUGUUUGGAAAAGUAGAUACGACAUAGACGUAUCAACUCUCCCAAGUUUAAACCUUUGCUUGUCCUCAAGCAAUUCAGUUGAUAAACUGAAAGUGAUAAAGAAAAACUUUUGCAAACUCUGUUUGCUCUUGUUGUUGUAAAUAUGUAAAGCCAACAUUCAAGUUUUCAGCAAAGAUUAUGAACUAACCAUAUUCCCAAUAACAUUUAGGUCUCAACUUUACUCAUAUAAAUGGCAUAAUCAACUAGCGAGCGAUAAUAAUAAAUCUCGGUUGACAACACUUUCUCAAAACAAUCAUGAUAUGAUAUAACAAGAUGGUAUCUCGCUAGCCCUUUCCAAGACCGCAAAACAUAAAUGCAGAGCACCUUUAAAGAUCAAGGACUGACUAGACAUUGUAAUUCAUGGUAAAAGAGAUCCAGUCAAGUCAUACUCAAUGUAAACUAACAGUAAUGAAUGCAUAUGACAGCGGUGCUCUCCAACUGGUGCUUUUUAAUAAGAGGGUGAUGACUCAACAUAAAAGUAAAUAGAUAGACCCUUCGCAGAGGGAAGCAGGGAUUUGUAGAGGUGCCAGAGCUUGAUUUUGAAAUAGAUAUGAAUAAUAUUUUGAGUGGCAUACUAUCAUUGUCAACAUAACAACCAAGAGAUGGCGAUAUCUUCCAUGCUACACACAUUAUAGGCGGUUCCCAAACAGAAUGGUAAGGUUUAUACCCCCCCUCCACCAACAAGCAUCAAUCCAUGGCUUGCUCGAAACAACGAGUGCCUCCAACUAACAACAGUCCCGAGGGAGUUUUGUUUGCAGUUAUUUUGAUUUGAUUUGCAUAAAUCAUGGGACUGGGCAUCCCGGUGACCAACCAUCUUCUCGUGAGUAAGGAGCGAAGUCCAAUCCUCUUGAGAAUAACCCGCCUAACAUGGAAGAUACAGACAGCCCUAGUUGAUACAUGGGCUAUUCGAGCAUACAAAACAGAAUGUUUAUUUGAAGGUUUAGAGUUUGGCACAUACAAAUUUACUUGGAACGACAGGUAGAUACCGUAUAUAGGUAGGUGUCAGUGUCAAAACCGGCGGAUCUCGGGUGGGGGGUCCCGAACUGUGCGUCUAAGGUGGAUGGUAACAGGAGGCAGGGGACACGAUGUUUACCUAGGUUCGGGCCCUCUCGAUGGAGGUAAAACCCUACGUCUUGCUUGAUUGAUCUUGAUGAUAUGAGUAUUACAAGAGUUGAUCUACCACGAGAUCAUAGAGGCUAAACCCUAGAAGCUAGCCUAUGGUAUGAUUGUCUGUUGUUCUACGGACUAAACCCUCCGGUUUAUAUAGACACUUGAGGGGGCUAGGGUUACACAGAGUCGGUUACAAGGGAGGAGAUCUACAUAUCCGUAUUGCCAAGCUUGCCUUCCACGCCAAGGAAAGUCCCAUCCGAACACGGGAUGAAGUCUUCAAUCUUGUAUCUUCAUAGUCCAAUAGUCCGACCAAAGGAUAUAGUCCGGCUGUCCAGAGACCCCCUAAUCCAGGACUCCCUCAGUAGCCCCUGAACCAGACUUCAAUGACGAUGAGUCCGGCGCGCAGUUUUGUCUUCGGCAUUGCAAGGCGGGUUCCUCCUCCGAAUACUCCAUAGAAGAUUUUGAACACAAGGAUAGUGUCCGGCUCUGCAAAACAAGUUCCACAUACCACCGUAGAGAGAAUAAUAUUUCCACGAAUCUAAUCUGCUGACACGUUUGACAGCAUGACAUCAUGCCACUGCCCUGUCAUUAUCCGAACCGUUUUUUCUCAACCAGCUACUGCACACAUCGCGAGGUGGUUUCCUUGGCACGUCUUGUCGAAGCAGAGAUCGUGUCCCCUUAUCACGGGAUUCUCAUCAGUACGGACGUGGGUAACCCAACCGCGUCAUCAAUUACGGCGCUUGGGGAAUAAGCGAUUUUAUCAGGCAUGUGGGGAGGCGCGUCACCUCUUCCACCCUUAUAAAGGGACAAGGAUUCACCCAUUUUACCCACGCCUUCUACCUCCUUACUUAUCCAUUCCUACGCACUCAAGCUCCAGCGCCCAAGUUCGCGUCUUUCUUCUCAAACCACUCCAAACAUGUCCGGAGCAGGAGGCAAGUGGAUGGUCUCCUCCGUCACGGAGGAGCACAUCGCAAAGUUACGGGAAGCCGGAUAUCUCGCCGCGGAUAUCAGGCACCGGCUGCCAGAUGCGGGGCAGAUCAUCCCUACGCCCGAACCCCAUGAGAGGGUAGUUUUUCUUACCCACUUCGUCUGCGGACUGGGAUUUCCCCUCCACCCGUUUGUCUGCGGGCUCAUGUUUUACUACGGGCUGGAUUUUCAUGAUCUGGCCCCCAAUUUCAUCCUCAACAUCUCAGCGUUUAUCGUCCUGUGCGAGGCCUUCCUCUGCAUCAGGCCCCACUUCGGCCUAUGGCUGAAAACCUUCAAUGUUAAACCGAAGGUAGUGGUCGGCCAGCAAGCAGAGUGCAGAGGCGCCAUGGCGGGCAAAAUGCCUAACGUCACCUGGCUCGAGGGCUCCUAUGUGGAGACCAUAAAGGGGUGGCAAUCGGGGUGGUUCUACAUCACCGAGCCACGCGACACCAACUGGGUGGUGGCCCCCAAAUUUCGAUCCGGAAUCCCCACGCGGCUCACCUCCUAAAAAGAGAAGGGCCUGUCAUGGGGUUCUCCGAUAGAGCUGACCGGACUCCAAACCUGCAUCAGGAACAUGAUGAGUAAGAAAAUCAAGCUCGUCAACGUGGUCCAGGUCAUGCUCUUCCGCCGGAUCCUCCCGUGUCAAUGACUGGCAUUCAAUUUGUGGGAGUUCGACCCGGCCAAGCACCAGACGCUGCGAGAGCUCUUUGACAUGACACACAAGGACGUCUGGAAGGUGCUGUUCAAGGGCGCCGAGGUACCUCCUCCCCUUACCGAGGACCGCGAACUCAGCGCAAAGCGCUAUGCCAAUCCGGUAAGUUUUCAUAUCUCACAGGAUACUUAUUUGCCCCAGUUUAAUCAUAUGCGGGAUCUAAGCUUCCACGCCAUUAACAGGACUGGGUAAAGAUAACGGAGCAGCUUGAUUGCCCAGCCCCCCUACCUAAAGAUCCUGCAGAUGCUCUCCUAACGGAGAUGCUGGCUCCGGCACCUUACGAGGUGCCGGCGAAGAAGACCAAGAAGAAGGCCCCGGGGACCCGAAAGGGUCUUCGGCGCAAGGUUAUAUCGGACUCAUCGUCCGAUGACUCUGACGCGCACUCCUCCCACGAAAACAAGGAGGAUGAGGAGGAAAGUUCUCCCCCCCAGCCGGGGGAGACAAGAAAAGGAAGGCCGACCCAACCGGGGAGUCCGAAGGGUCCAAGAAGGGAAGGACCCUCCUUCCGGACUGCUCCACGACGGCCGCCUACAGCGGCGAUGAGUGGUUACCCAGGGAGAAGCCCCUGGUGAAGUCGUAAGUAUCCGGACACCAUAGUAAUUCAUGGUAUGUUUUAUUGAAUUGUUUCUCAUUACGCCGUAUAUGAUUAUGUAGUCUGUCCCGAGCUCAUCUCGACAUAGAUUCGUCGGACGGUUCAUUGGACUCGUCGGAUAUGAAUAGUGAUUCACUUCUGACCGCCUCCACCCCUUGCCCUACGGACAACGUCGAGGUGUUGUCCCAAAAGGCACCGAGCCGAGGGGAGGUAGUCCUGGGGGCGCCUCGAGGCGACCUUUCGGACCCUAGGCGCAAAGGGAGCAAGACUCCCACGGGCUCCAAGUUUGGCCCCCAGCCAAAUACUGCCCCGGAACCUUCGGUGGUUCCGGACUCCGACAGAUGAUCCCCCGUUAAGGGGGGCAAGCCGCCCGUGCCGGUGUCCUCUAUCCAUCCAGAGGCACCAGACAACUUGCUGGAAGCGCUUCGCGGCGCUUCCAUCAACGAAGAGCACCACACUAUCAUGAGUGCGGUGAUCGAGAAAGUUCAGUCCGCCAAACACGGACUGACCAAAGCUUGCGCCAGCCUCCUAACAGGCUUUAAGGUAAGCAAUCAAAAUAUAAGAAAAUAUUACCGCAUAGACAAUAGCCCCUGAUGCUCUGUUCGGCGUUCGCGAAGAAAGGCCGAACAGAGGAUCAAAUGAUGACUCGGGAGUCUAAUCAGAAUAUGUCUAUGUGUAUGUGCAGGCUUCACUGCUAGCCGCUGCCGCACAUACUGCGGAGGUCUCUGCACUGAAGCAGGACCUGGAGCGGUCCAAGGACGAGCUCGACCUUACCAAGAGGCAGCUCGAGGAGAGCAAAGGUAAGCAAUACCUUGUCUAUAUAUUUAAAAAGAAGUUCGGGUAUAAAGUAAUAGGAUCAUCAUGAAUUUGCCAGGGGCCAUGAUCGAAGUGGCGACCCUGAAGAAGACGUUGUCCAAGGCCGAAGAAAAAGCGGCCAGGGGAGCGCAUUGAGCGGGAAAAGCAAGAAGCCCGGGUAGGCGAGGUGCAGCAAGAGCUCGAGGCUCUCGCCAAAAAAUACGAGUCCUUGGAGCUUGACUCUAAGACGCGAGAGUCCAAGCUUGCGAAGGCACUCGAAAGCGCCCGGAGCACCAAGCUGAAGCCCACAAGGCCCUCCAGCAGAUUGAUGCGGUGAAGAAGAUAGCAGCAGGUAAGGCAUUCAUUAUGCAAAGCAAGCAUGUGAAGGAGACUUUCCUUUUAUUUACCCGAGUUCGGAGCUCUCCAGGAGCGUUCGAAGAUCUUCCCCGCAGUGUACUGGAUGCCGCAGAGUUUUACCGAGCUGAGGAGGGGAGCUCGACGGAAAAGUUGUUCUGGUCUCAGUAUACUGGGACCGAAUACCCAAUGCCCUUGAGCGACCAGCUGAAGCAAUUGGUCGAGCUUCACAAGGCGGCUGAACAGGUCAUGAAGGGUCUGAUAGUCCGGAUGUGGCUUGGCGAGCCCCUGUCCGGCAGCUACUUCGAUCUGGUGAGGCGGCUUGUGGAUGCCUGCCCACGGCUUGAAGUCAUAAAGCGGUCCGUCUGCAUCGAGGGUGCGCGCAGGGCUUUUGCCCGGGCAAAGGUGCACUGGGCGAAGCUGGACGUCGUGAAGCUGGUGAAGGAGGGGCCGCCAGAGGGCAAGGAGCAUCGCUGCCCCGAAAUGUAUUAUGAAAGUGUCAUGAAGGGUUCCCGCCUUGUGGCGGAUGAAUGUGCCAGAGACGUAAUUUUUGAAUGAACAUGCUCAUGUGAUCCUGUAAUGUGAAACGAGUUCAUUUGCGCUAUGCAACACUUUUUCUUAAUUUAAAAUAUUACCUUCUGUGCGGCCGUUUAUAAAAUCUAAGAGUUGGCCAGCCGUCGGCUUCUGCCCCCAUGUAACUAGUACUGGGGUGUUCAGGAUAAACCUGAGCACUCUUUAUCCCAAUUUUGGGUCCUUCGAGGGAGGUGUUCAGCACAACGAACCAGGCAAUCGGACUAUAAUGCUUUAUCACUCUCACUUAGCCAUAGAAGUCUACAAUUUUAAAUUUUGGCGAAGCCCCUAGUAUUCGGAAGGCCGAAUUUGGGGCGCUAUACAUGCCUAAGUCGGGCAAGGCCGACUCCUCACCCGAAGCGGAAAAAGUCUUUAAGGACUUGAGACCUCUCGAACAGCGACCAGCUCUCGCCUUAUCAUGACAGUCUGUUUUCGGCUUUCUCUACUGAGGUGCUCGUCCGGAAGAACCGGGAUACAAUCGCAGUAGUUCUCCCAGCGCUACCUUAGCCGAUAUAGCGGAACGUAAGGUACCAAAGCAUGGGAGCCGGGCAAACCCAACUAUUGACCCAAGACAUGAUUCGGAGCUGAUGCAUAUAAUGCUAUAAGUUCGGGGUGCCGCACUGUCGAAAGUGUUCGGACUUCUCACACCGUAUUAUGGGGUAAAUGAAAGCCCCUGGCGUACUGACCGUACCAGAAUGUACGGGUGCAAGUUAUUGUAAAUGAACAUAUAAGAAAAAGGGGAUGAAUAAUGCAAUAAUAAACUAAUGCUAUGCAUUGUUAUUUAAAUAAUACGUCGAAGCGUACUGAUACAAGUAGUGCAAUAAGCAGAAAAUAGGACUAUUUGACAUGUCCUAUCCAAGGGCAAGCUGCGUAUGGAUAGUAAAAAGCGGGUAUGUCGAUUAUUAUUAGAGACCACCUGGGGGUUCCUUUGUACAUCUUAGUUUCUUGCCUCCUAGAUUGUUCCUUCCCGUAAUGUGUCCGGCAAUCGUACUGCCGAAAAGGGCUUCCAGAGAGUUAGGUCCUGAAAGAGAAAAAACGAUAAAGGUAUACAGCCCCUGGGGCGGUUAAGCCGCAUUGCGGGACGUGCCUUGAUCGUGCCCCCGCCUAUGCCCAUGGUAUUUUCAGUGCGUAAUUAUGUACGCACGGCUCCGAUUUCGUCGCUUGACUGGGACUGGGAUGGGGGCCAAAUUGCUAGGCGAGCUCUGAACGUGCCAGGCGAUCCUGUUGCAGUUUACUCCGGACUCGCUUGACAGUGUCCGGGGGCUGUAUCGCUGAAUUGGUGGUUUGCCUUAAAAGGCUGCUUUGUGCUUUUGCUGCGAGGGCCGCAGUGUGCUGUUCCAUGCGGAGCAAGCGUUCUGUGUUUCCAUUGACUGUUAUGACCCCCUAGGUCCUGGCAUUUUGAGCUUGAGUUAUGUGUAAUGCGGCACCGCAUUGAAUUUUGCAAAUGCGGUUCGCCCAAGCAGUGCGUGAUAGCCACUACGGAACGGGACGAUAUCGAAGAUUAACUCCUCGCUUCGGAAGUUGUCCGGAGUUCCAAAGACCACUUCCAGUGUGAUUGAGCCCGUGCAAUGGGCCUCUACACCUGGAAUGACGUCCUUAAAGGUGGUUUUGGUGGAUUUGAUUCUCGAGGGAUCUAUACCCAUUUUGCGCAUUGUAUCCUGAUAGAGCAGGUUCAGGCUGCUGCCGCCGUCCAUAAGGACUCGAGUGAGGUGAAAUCCGUCGAUGAUGGGGUCUAGUACCAGUGCGGAGGAUCCGCCAUGACGGAUAUUAGUAGGGUGGUCCCUGCGAUCAAAGGUGAUCGGACAAGCGGACCAUGGGUUGAACUUUGGGGCGACGGGCUCCAUCGCAUAGACGUCCCUUAGUGCAUGCUUCCGUUCCCUCUUGGGAAUGUGGGUUGCGUAUAUCAUGUUCACCGUCUUCACUUGUGGGGGGAACCUCUUCUGUCCUCCCAUGUUCGACGGCCGGGGCUCCUCCUCGUCAUCACUAUGCAGCCCCUUGUCCUUGUUUUCGGCAUUUAACUUGCCGGCCUGCUUGAACACCCAACAUUCUCUGUUGGUGUGAUUGGCUGGCUUAGCGGGGGUGCCGUGGAUUUGACAUGAGCGAUCAAGUAUGCGAUCCAAACUGGACGGGUCCGGAGUACUUCUUUUGAAUGGCUUUUUCCGCUGACCGGAUCUAGAGCCUCUGAAUUCGGCAUUGACUGCCGUAUCAUCGGUGUUAUCACUGUUGUUGCGGCACUUUUGUCUGUUACGACGUGGUCUGCCGUUGGCAUCUUUGGUAUCCGGAGUGCCCGGAUUCCUUGAUGUGUUGUUGCUGCGAGCCAGCCAGCUAUCCUCGCCCGCGCAAAAGUGGGUCAUGAGUGUCGUGAGGGCUGCCAUAGACUUCGGCUUCUCCUGGCCGAGGUGCCGGGCAAGCCACUCGUCACGGAUGUUAUGCUUGAAUGCCACUAAGGCCUCUACAUCCGGACAAUCGACAAUUUGGUUUUUCUUAGUUAGGAACCGUGUCCAGAAUUGCCUGGUUGAUUCCCCUGGCUGCCGAGUUAUAUGGCUCAAGUCAUCAGCAUCCAGUGGUCGCACAUAAGUCCCGUGGAAGUUGUCAAGGAAUGCGUCUUCCAAAUCCUCCCAGCUGCCGACGGAGUCUGCUGGCAAGCUAUUCAGCCAAUGCCGAGCUGGUCCUUUGAGUUUUAGUGGGAGGUACUUGAUGGCAUUUAGAUCAUCACCGCGAGCCAUGUGGAUGUGAAGGAGAAAAUCCUCAAUCCAUACAACGAAAUCUCUUGUACCAUCAUACGAUUCGAUAUUUACGGGUUUAAAACCCUCCGGGAAUUCGUGAUCCAUAACUUCAUCAGUGAAGCAUAGGGGGUGUGCGGCGCCUCUGUGCCGGGAUAUAUCACGACGCAGUUCAUAUGAGUCUUGUCUGCUGUAUUCGGACCGGCCGGAUUUACUUUUAGUGUAUCCGGCGCGACGGUCAUCGUCCCGCGUUGGCGCGCGCCCCCGUGACCCGUAUAUUGACCUUGCAUGUUUUUCCCUGCUGUCCAAUACGUCUCGUGGGUCCCGUGUGUUGCCCCGGGCCUUGGUGUUUUUGAUUGAGUGGCGGCGGGGUGCAGGCUGAACUUCAGGCUGAAACGCCUCUCCGGCUCGGCAACGCGAUGGCCGGUCAGCCGCAUCAUACACUGGUGAUGGAGGUUUCAAUGCUUCCUCCUCGAGGUGAGGUAGCAACCUGCGCUUUGGGUAACUCUUGGAGGGGCGUUCGAGUUCGUAUUCCUCGGCCGCAAGGACUUCGGUCCAUCUGUCUGCUAGCAAGUCCUGAUCAGCUUGAAGCUGUUGUUGCUUUUUCUUCAGGCUAUUUGCUGUGGCCAUAAGCCGGAGCUUGAAGCGCUUCUGCUCGAUGGGAUCCUCAGGCACGAUAAAUUCUUCGUUGCCGAGGCUCACCUCGUCUUCGGAGAGAGGCAUUUAAUUGUCCUCCUCUGAUUCUCCAUCUGCUGCCUGCUCUGGAGGGCUAGCUUGUUCACCCUCCCGCUCUACAUCGUGCUGGAGGGGAUUGUGGUUGUCUUCGGCACUAUCCGGAGUGUUAUUGUCUCUUGUGCCGGUAUCACUACUUUUGUUGUGGCAGGACUUAGAGCGGUGCCGCUGACGUCGGCGCUUGGGUUGCUUCUUGGAGGGGUCAUCCUCCGUUGUCUCGUCGCCAUUGCCUUCUUUGGGGGUGUCCAUCGUGUAUAUAUAUCAUAUGAUGAGGUGGCGGUCCAGCGCCCUGUGGGCGGUGGUUCCUGUUCGUCUCCUGCAUCGUCGUCCAUACUGUCGAUGUCUUUAGAGUCGAAGUCGAGCAUGUCAGUUAAAUCGUCGACAGUGGCUACUAAGUGGGUGGUGCGUGGGCAGCGAAUUUCUUCGUCGUCCGCAUCCCAUUCUAGCCGGACAUAGUUCGGCCAAGGUUCUCCUAUCAAGGAGAGAGACCUUAAUGAAUUUAGCAAAUCGCCGAAAGGCGAGUGCUGAAAGAUAUCCGCGGAGGUGAACUCCAUGAUCGGCGCCCGGUCGGAUUCGAUAGGCACGGAUGCAGGCGGCCCGGAGUCCGUGGCCGGACACGAAUCCCGCGGUUCGGCGACACGGCUCUUGUAAGGGGUGAAGUCAGUAUCUGACUCCAUCACCACUGAGAGUGCAGCCUCCAUGACGGGGUCUAUCCCUCCGUCCUCGGAUGGCGCAAUUUGCUCCGGAUUGAAGGCUGGAGUAGUUGCAGGUGCGAUUUCCCGAACGCUGUCCGAUGGCAGAGUUACGUCAUGCUCGUCGUGAUUGUGCGGUGCACCUGACAUGGGCUCGAAUCCGUCGAAGAUCAAGUCUCCGCGGAUGUCGGCAGUGUAGUUUAAGUUUCCGAACCUGACCUAAUGGCCAGGGGUGUAGCUCUCGAUCUGGUCCAGAUGGCCAAGCGGAUUGGCCCGCAGUGCGAAGCCACCGAAUACGAAGAUCUGUCCGGGGAGGAAAACCUCACCCUGGACCGCAUCAUUAUCGAUGAUUGAAGGGGCCAUCGAGCCUUAUGGUGACGGCACAGUGGAACUCUCAAUGAAAGCACCAAUGUCUGUGUCAAAACCGGCGGAUCUCGGGUAGGCGGUCCCGAACUGUGCGUCUAAGGCGGAUGGUAACAGGAGGCAGGGGACACGAUGUUUACCCAGGUUCGGGCCCUCUCGAUGGAGGUAAAACCCUAUGUCCUGCUUGAUUGAUCUUGAUGAUAUGAGUAUUACAAGAGUUGAUUUACCACGAGAUCAUAGAGGCUAAACCCUAGAAGCUAGCCUAUGGUAUGAUUGUCUGUUGUCCUACGGACUAAACCCUCUGGUUUAUAUAGACACCGGAGGGGGCUAGGGUUACACAGAGUCGGUUACAAGGGAGGAGAUCUACGUAUCCGUAUUGCCAAGCUUGCCUUCCACGCCAAGGAAAGUCCCAUCCAGACACGGGACGAAGUCUUCAAUCUUAUAUCUUUAUAGUCCAACAGUUCGGCCAAAAGAUAUAGUCCGGCAGUCUGGAGACCCCCUAAUCCAGGACUCCCUUAGUAGGUAUGGUGGACUCAUAUGGAAUAACAUUGGGGUUUAUGGGAUUGGAUGCACAAGCAGUAUUCCCGCUUAGUACAGGUGAAGGCUAGAAAAAGACUAGGAAGCGACCAGCCAGAGAGCGACAACAGUCAUGAACAUGCAUUAAAAUUAAUCAACACCGAAUGCAAGCAUGAGUAGGAUGUAAUGCACCAUGAACAUAAAUAUCGUAGAGGCUAUGUUGAUUUUGUUUCAACUACAUGCAUGAACAUGUGCCAAGUCAAGCCACUCGAAUCGUUCAAAAGAGGGUACCACCCUAUCAUACCACAUCACAACCAUUUUAAUAGCAUGUUGGCACGCAAGGUAAACCAUUAUAAGCUCCCAGCUAAUUAAGCAUGGCAUAAGAAACUAUAAUCUCUAAUUGUCAUUGCAAACAUGUUUAUUCAUAAUAAGCUGAAUCAGGAACGAUGAAUGAUACGUCCAUUUUGCAUCAUGCUUUUAUAUCGAUAUUUAUUGCAUUAUGGGAUGUUAUUACACAUUAUGACACAAUACUUAUGCCCAUUCUCUCUUAUUUUACAAGGUUUACAUAAAGAGGGAGAAUGCCGACAGCUGGGAUUCUAGGCUGGAAAAGGAGCAAAUAUUAGAGACCUAUUAUGCACAGCUCCAAAAGUCCUGAAACUUCACGGAAGUCAUUUUCAGAAUAUAUAAAGAACACUGAGCGCAAGAAGUUCACCAGGGGGGCCACACCCUGCCCACGAGGGUGGGGGGCGCGCCCCCUACCUCGUGGGCCCCCUGGUGGCCCUCCGAUGCCCAUCUUCUGCUAUAUGGAGUCUUUCAAUGAGGAAAAAAUCAUAAGCCAGCUUUUGGGACGAGACUCCGCCGCCACGAGGCGGAACCUUGGCGGAACCAAUCUAGGGCUCCGGUGGAGCUGUUCUGCCGGGGAAACUUCCCUCCGGGAGGGGGAAAUCAUCGCCAUCAUCAUCACCAACGAUCCUCUCGUCGGGAGGGGGUCAAUCUCCAUCAACAUCUUCACCAGCACCAUCUCCUUUCAAACCAUAGUUCAUCUCUUGUAUCCAAUUCUUGUCUCUAAGUCCGGGAUUGGUACCUGUGGGUUGCUAGUAGUGUUAAUUACUCCUUGUAGUUGAUGCUAGUUGGUUUAUUUGGUGGAAGAUCAUAUGUUCAGAUCCUAUAUGCAUAUUAAUACCCCUCUGAUUAUGAACAUGAAUAUGCUUUGUGAGUAGUUACGUUUGUUCCUAAGGACAUGGGAGAAGUAUUGCUAUUAGUAGUCAUGUGAAUUUGGUAUUCGUUCGAUAUUUUGAUGAGAUGUAUGUUGUCUCUCCUCUAGUGGUGUUAUGUGAACGUCGACUACAUGACACUUCACCAUUAUUUGGGCCUAGAGGAAGGCAUUGGGAAUUAAUAAGUGGAUGAUGGGUUGCUAGAGUGACAGAAGCUUAAACCCCAGUUUAUGCGUUGCUUCGUAAGGGGCUGAUUUGGAUCCAUAUGUUUCAUGCUAUGGUUAGGUUUAACUUAAUACUUUUGUUGUAGUUGCGGAUGCUUGCAAUAGAGGUUAAUCAUAAGUGGGAUGCUUGUCCAAGUAAGGACAGUACCCAAGCACCGGUCCACCCACAUACCAAAUUAUCAAAGUACCGGACGCGAAUCAUAUGAACGUGAUGAAACCUAGCUUGACGAUAAUUUCCAUGUGUCCUCGGGAGCGCUUUUCUCUAUAUAAGAAUUUUUCCAGGCUUGUCCUUUGCUACAAAAAGGAUUGGGCCACCUUGCUGCACUUUAUUUACUUGUGUUACUUGUUGCUCGUUACAAAUUAUCUUAUCACAAAACUAUCUGUUACCUAUAAUUUCAGUGCUUGCAGAGAAUACCUUGCUGAAAACUGCUUAUCAUUUCCUUCUGCUCCUCGUUGGGUUUGACACUCUUAUUUAUCGAAAGGACUACGAUAGAUCCCCUAUACUUGAGGGUCAUCAAGACUCUUUUCUGGCGCUAUUGCCGGGGAGUGAAGCGCCUUUGGUAAGGAAAAUUUUAUAUAGUGUGCUGAAAUUUACUGUCACUUGUUACUAUGGAAAGUAAUCCUCUGAGGGGCUUGUUCGGGGUAUCUUCACCCCGACCAGAAGAGCAAAGAGUUGCUCCUCAACCGAUUGAACCUACUGAAAAUGAAAAUGUCUACUUUGAUAUUCCUUCGGGUAUGAUAGAAAAACUGAUAGCUAAGCCUUUUGCAGGAGAUGGAACAUUACAUCCCGAUGAGCACCUAAUAUAUGUGGAUGAAGUUUGUGGAUUAUUUAAGCUUGCAGGUGUGCCCGAUGGUGUUAUCAAGAAGAAGGUCUUCCCUUUAUCUUUGGAGGGAGACGCAUUGACAUGGUAUAGGCUAUGUGAUGAUAUGGGAUCAUGGAACUACAAACGAUUGAAAUUGGAAUUUCAUCAAAAGUUUUAUCCUAUGCAUCUUGUUCAUCGUGAUCACAAUUAUAUAUAUAAUUUUUGGCCUCGCGAAGGAGAAAGCAUCACUCAAGCUUGGGGGAGGCUUAAAUCAAUGUUAUAUUCAUGCCCCAAUCAUGAGCUCUCUAGAGAAAUGAUUAUCCAAAAUUUAUAUGAUCGGCUUUCUGAUAACAACCGCACCAUGCUCGAUACUUCUUGUGUUGGCUCUUUUAUGAUGAAGACUAUUGAAUUCAAAUGGGAUUUAUUGGAAAGAAUUAAACACAACUCUGAAUAUUGGGACCUCGAUGAAGGUAAGAAGUCAGGUAUGAUAUCUAAGUUUGAUUGUGUUAAAUCUUUUAUGGAUACUGGUGUUUUUCGUAAAUUUAGCACUAAAUAUGGACUUGACUCUGAAAUAGUAGCUUCUUUCUGUGAAUCUUUUGCUACUCAUGUUGAUCUCCCUAGGGAGAAGUGCUUUAAAUAUCAUCCUCUCAUAGAAGUAAAAGUAGCUGCACCUAUUAAAGUUGAAGAAAAGACUGUCACUUAUAAUGAUCCUAUUGUUCCUACUGCUUAUGUUGAGAAACCACCUUUUCCUGUUAGGAUAAAGAUCAUGCUAAAGCUUCAACUGUGGUUCGUAAAAGAAAUAUUAGAACUUAUACACAUCCUGAGCAAGUGAAAGUUGAACCUAAUAUUGCUAUUGUACAGGAUCUCUUGGCUGAUAAUAUUGAUGGGCAUGUUAUUUAUUUCUGUGAUGAAACUGCUAGAAUUGCUAAACCUUGUGCUAAAGAUAAACAUAGACCUGUGGUAGGCAUGCCUGUUAUCUCUGUUAAAAUAGGAGAUCAUUGUUAUCAUGGCUUAUGUGAUAUGGGUGCCAGUGCUAGUGCUAUACCUCAUGACUUAUACAAAGAAUUAUGCAUGAUACUACACCUGCUGAGAUAGAAGAUAUUGAUGUCACAAUUAAAUUUGCCAAUAGAGAUACUAUUUCACCAAUUGGAAUUGUUAGAGAUGUUGAAGUCUUGUGUGGGAAAGUUAAAUAUCCUGUUGAUUUUCUUGUUCUUGGUUCCCCACAAGAUAGCUUUUGUCCCAUUAUAUUUGGUAGACCCUUCUUGAACACGGUUAAUGCUAAGAUAGAUUGCAAAAAAGAUGUUGUUACUAUUAGUUUAGGUGAUAUGUCUCAUGAAUUUAAUUUCUCUAAAUUUCGUGGACAACACCGUGAAGAGGAAUUGCCUAGUAAAGAUGAAAUUAUUGGUCUUGCUUCUAUUGCCGUGCCUCCUAGUGAUCCUUUAGAAAAGUAUUUGCUAGACCAUGAAAAUGAUAUGUUUAUGAAUGAAAGAAGGGAAAUAGAUGAAGUAUUCUUUAAACAGGAACCCAUCCUGAAACACAAUUUGCCUAUUGAAAUCAUAGGGGAUCCUCCUCCACCCAAGGGUGAUCCUGUGUUUGAGUUCAAACCGUUACCUGAUACUCUUAAAUAUGCUUAUCUUGAUGAGAAAAAGAUAUAUCCUGUUAUUAUUAGUGCUAACCUUUAAGAGCAUGAAGAAGAGAGAUUAUUGAAAACUUUGAGGAAGCACCGUGCUGCUAUUGGAUAUACUCUCGAUGAUCUUAAGGGCAUUAGUCCCACACUAUGUCAACACAAAAUAAAUUUGGAGAAAGAUGCCAAACCAGUUCGUGAUCACCAACGACGGCUGAAUCCUAAGAUGAAAGAAGUGGUAAGAAAAGAAAUACUAAAGCUCCUUGAGGCAGGUAUAAUUUAUCCCGUUGCUGAUAGUCAGUGGGUAAGUCAUGUCCAUUGUGUCCCUAAAAAGGGAGGUAUUACUGUCGUUCCUAAUGAUAAAGAUGAAUUGAUUCCGCAAAGAAUUAUUACAGGUUAUAGGAUGGUAAUUGAUUUCCGCAAAUUAAAUAAGGCUUAUUGGGCUAUUAUAGAGCUCAAUUAUGAUUUCAAACUUGCCGGUGAGAAAAGGUUAUUUGACAUUAGCUCACUUGAUGAAUGGAGAACCCAAGCCUAUGAGAAUGCCAAAUUGUUUAAAGAAAAUGUUAAAAGAUGGCAUGACAAAAGAAUACAAAAACGUGAGUUUAAUGUAGGUGAUUAUGUAUUGCUAUACAACUCUCAUUUAAGAUUUUUUGCAGGAAAACUUCUCUCUAAAUGGGAAGGUCCUUACGUUAUCAAGGAGGUCUAUCGCUCCGGUGCCAUAAAAAUCAACAACUUCGAAGGCACAAAUCCGAAGGUGGUGAACGGUCAAAGAAUUAAACAUUAUAUCUCAGGUAAUCCUAUAAAUGUUGAAACUAAUGUUAUUGAAACUGUAACCCCGGAGGAAUACAUAAGGGACACUUUCCGGAACGUUUCAGACUCCGAAAAGGAAUAGGUAUGUGGUACGGUAAGUAAACCGACUCCAAAACAGUUCUAAUGGCAAUUUUCUUCCGUUUUGGAAUAUUUAGAAAAAUAGAAAAAUAAGAAGCAGUCCGGGAAGGACACGAGGGCUCCACGAGGGUGGAGGGCGCGCCCUACCCCCUGGGUGCGCCCCCCUACCUCGUGGGCACCUCGUGUGCUCUCCGGCUCCAUUUUCUUACACAUUACGUAUUUUGGUCGGUAGAAAUUCAUUAUAUAAUCUCCCAGAGGUUUUGACUCCCAUAUCACGCAAAUAUCUCUCGUCUUUGUUUCGAGUUGUUGCUGCUGCAGAUUAGAGCAAGAUGUCUUCGCAAGAGUCAGUUGGGGAGAGCCAGGUGUCUCAUCCGGCACCGAGAUCAAUGACAAACAACAAUGUUAACCACUUUGGGCCAGCAACGGAGGAAGAGAUGGAGGCUGAUUUGAAGAGGAUAGAUGCCAUGGAGGAGGAUCAAGAAGUCACUUCCCGCUUCCGAGCUGGAUUCACAAUGGGGGAACUGCAGAGCUCGGCUAUUCCAAACUCGGUUAUCCCUUCCAAUGUUAGAUUUCUUUCUUAUGAGAAUAUGAAAAGGAGUGUCACUGGUUCUCCCGCAGCUAUGCAGCACCCUUGGGUGCAGGGAGCUUUGGCUGUUACAGGAAAACAUCGAAAGGAAAUAAUGGACUUCAAGCAGCAAGUCAAUAAGCUCGAGGAGGAGAAUUGUAUCCCGAGGGGCAUCAUCGCCAAUAAUAUCACAUCACCAUCCCUGAAAAGAGAGAUAUAAUCACAUGGUUACGGGCACUCCCCUUGGCAACUGCCAAGCUUGGGGGAGUGCCCCGGUAUCGUAUCACCAUCAUUUUUAUCUUUACCGUUUUUCUUAGUUUGAUCCUUUUGAUAAUAUCUUGAUCUAGUAGUAUAAAGUUUUAGUAUGAUCUAGUUGUGAGUUUUGCUUUAUGAUCCUUCUAUGUAAUCGAGUCCGUGAGCUAUAUAUAAUAAAGAUUAGUGUUGAGUCAAGGGCUUGAUUAUUUUGCCAUGAUCUUGAGUGAAUAAAAGAAAGAGAAAGAAUAAAAAGAAAUAAAAGAGAUCAUAUGGAUCUUAUGGAGAGUAAUGAGAUCACAUAUAAAGAGUAUGAUGAUUAAAAGUUGUUCAGAGUUGACAAACAUAGUUUUGUUCAUCGUUGCAAUUAAUAGGAAGUAAUAAAGAAAGAGAGGUCUUCACAUAUAAAUAUACUAUCUUGGACAUCUUUUAUGAUUGUGAGCACUCAUUAAAAUAUGACAUGCUAAAGAGUUGACAUUGGACAAGGAAUACAACGUAAUGGGUUAUGUUUUCUUACAUCUGAGAUAAAUUAUAUUGUCAUGGAUCAUCCAAUAUGAUUGAGCUUCCCUUUCCCCCUCAUGCUAGCCAAAUUCCUUGCACCAAGUAGAGAUGCUACUUGUGCUUCUAAACACCCUUAAACCAGUUUUGCCAUAAGAGUCCACUAUACCUACCUAUGGAUUGAGUAAGAUCCUCCAAGUAAGUUGUCAUCGGUGCAAGCAAUAAAAAUUGCUCUCUAAAUAUGUAUGACUUAUUAGUGUGGGAGAAAAUAAGCUUUAUACGAUCAUGUGAUAUGGAAGAAAUAAAAGCGACGGAGUGCAUAAUAAAGGUCCAUAUCACAAGUGGCAAUAUAAAGUGACGUUCUUUCGUAUUAAGAUUUUGUGCAUCCAACCAUAAAAGCGCAUGACAACCUCUGCUUCCCUCUGCGAAGGACCUAUCUUUUACUUUUAUCUCCUACCUCGCAUAAGAGUCAUGGUGAUCUUCACCCUUCCUUUUCAAAUUUUAUCGUUUGGCAAGCACAUCAUGUUGGAAAGAUCCUGGUAUAUAUGGCUAAUUGGAUGUGAGUUUUCAUGAACUAUUAUUGUUGACAUUACCCUUAAGGUAAAAGGUUGGGAGGCAAAACUAUAAGCCCCUAUCUUUCUCUGUGUCUGAUUAAAAUUCCAUACCCAUAAGUAUUGCGUGAGUGUUAGCAAUUGUGAAAGACUAUAUGAUAGUUGAGUAUGUGGACUUGCUGGAAAGCUCUUAUAUUGACUCUUUCCUAUGUUAUGAUAAAUUGCAAUUGCUCCAAUGACUGAGAUUAUAGUUUUUUAGUUUUCAAUGAAGUUUAUGAUUCAUACUUGAAAACGUGAUUUAAUUGUUACUCUAGCAUAAGAGAUCAUAUGACAAGAAUUAUAUAAGUUGCUGUUCUAAGAAUGAUCAUGAUGCCCUCAUGUCCGUAUUUUAUUUUUAUCGACACCUCUAUCUCUAAACAUGUGGACAUAUUUUUCGAUUUCGGCUUUCGCUUGAGGACAAGCAAGGUCUAAGCUUGGGGAAGUUGAUACGUCCACUUUGCAUCAUGCUUUUAUAUCGAUAUUUAUUGCAUUAUGGGCUGUUAUUACACAUUAUGUCACAAUACUUGCAUAUUCUCUCUUAUUUUACAAGGUUUACAUAAAGAGGGAGAAUGCCGGCAGCUGGGAUUCUGGGCUGGAAAAGGAGCAAAUAUUAGAGACCUAUUCUGCACAGCUCCAAAAGUCCUGAAACUUCACGGAAGUCAUUUUCAGAAUAUAUAAAAAAUACUGAGCGCAAGAAGUUCACCAGGGGGGCCACACCCUGCCCACGAGGGUGGGGGCGCGCCCUACCCCCCUAGGCGCGCCCCGUACCUCGUGGGCCCCCUGGUGGCCCUCCGAUGCCCAUCUUCUGCUAUAUGGAGUCUUUCGAUGAGGAAAAAAACAUAAGCUAGCUUUCGGGAUGAGACUCCGCUGCCACGAGGCGGAACCAAUCUAGGGCUCCGACGGAGCUGUUCUGCCGGGGAAACUUCCCUCCGGGAGGGGGAAAUCAUCGCCAUCGUCAUCACCAACGAUCCUGUCAUCGGGAGGGGGACAAUCUCCAUCAACAUCUUCACCAACACCAUCUCCUCUCAAACCCUAGUUCAUCUCUUGUAUCCAAUUCUUGUCUCUAAGUCCGGGUUUGGUACCUAUGGGUUGCUAGUAGUGUUAAUUACUCCUUGUAGUUGAUGCUAGUUGGUUUAUUUGGUGGAAGAUCACAUGUUCAGAUCCUAUAUGCAUAUUAAUACCCCUCUGAUUAUGAACAUGAAUAUGCUUUGUGAGUAGUUACAUUUGUUCCUAAGGACAUGGGAGAAGUGUUGCUAUUAGUAGUCAUGUGAAUUUGGUAUUCGUUCGAUAUUUUGAUGAGAUGUAUGUUGUCUCUCCUCUAGUGGUGUUAUGUGAACAUCGACUACAUGACACUUCACCAUUAUUUGGGCCUAGAGGAAGGCAUUGGGAAUUAAUAAGUAGAUGAUGGGUUGCUAGAGUGACAGAAGCUUAAACCCCAGUUUAUGCGUUGCUUCGUAAGGGGCUGAUUUGGAUCCAUAUAUUUCAUGCUAUGGUUAGGUUUAACUUAAUACUUUUUUUGUAGUUGCGGAUGCUUGCAAUAGAGGUUAAUCAUAAGUGGGAUGCUUGUCCAAGUAAGGACAGUACCCAAGCACCGGUCCACCCACAUACCAAAUUAUCAAAGUACCGAACGCGAAUCAUAUGAACGUGAUGAAACCUAGCUUGACGAUAAUUCCCAUGUGUCCUCGGGAGCGCUUUUCUCUAUAUAAGAAUUUUUCCAGGCUUGUCCUUUGCUACAAAAAGGAUUGGGCCACCUUGCUGCACUUUAUUUACUUUUGUUACUUGUUGCUCGUUACAAAUUAUCUUAUCACAAAACUAUAUGUUACCUAUAAUUUCAGUGCUUGCAGAGAAUACCUUGCUGAAAACCGCUUAUCAUUUCCUUCUGCUCCUCGUUGGGUUCGACACUCUUACUUAUCGAAAGUACUACGAUAGAUGCCCUAUACUUGUGGGUCAUCAUUGAACUAAUCAUAUUUACAAAAACAAGAGAGGUCGAGUUCAUACCAGCUUCUCCCAUCUCAAUUUGUCCAUCAUAUAUCGUCAUAAUUGCCUUUCACUUGCACGAUCGAAUGAUGUGAAUAAUAAUAACAGUGCAUGUGCAUUGGACUAAGCUGGAAUCUGCGAGCAUUCAAUAAACAGGAGAAGACAAGGCAAUAUGGACUCUUUUGUCAGAUCAACAAUAAUGCCUAUAAGAGCCACUUUAACAAUUUAAUUAUGGUCUUCUCCUAUUGACCCCCAAAGAAAAGAAGAGAAAUAAAACUAUUUACACGGGAAAGCUCCCAACAAGCAAAAGAAGAACAGGAAAUCUUUUUGGGUUUUCUUUUUAAUUACUACUACAAGCAUGGAAAUUAAAACUAGCUAAAAGCUACAACUAAUUUUUUGGUUUUUCUUAAGGUGUGUUAAACACACAAGAAGAAAGCAUAAAAAGAGAAAAUAAACUAGCAUGGAUAUUACAAUGAAAAAGUAUGAGCACCGACAUCUAGCAAUGAGUGUGUGAACAUGAAUGUAAUGUCGGUGAGAAAUACGUACUCCCCCAAGCUUAGGAUUUUGGCCUAAGUUGGUCUAUGGCCACGGGUGGCCUGGCGGAUAUCCAUAGUAAUAGUUGGGGUCGUACUGAGAAGAAGCCUCGGAUUGCCACUGAUUGGCAAUCACCUCUGGAUCCCACUGAUAAUCAGACUAUCAUGGGGGAUAAUAUUGGGAUUCCGGCUCUGGCUCUGUAACUGAUGUAGGGUUCCAGUAGGCGUGAAUGGCCUCCAACAAAACAAGGUACUUGCCUGCAGAUAAAUCAAACAAGGAAGGAGCAGGCAAGGUAAUAGUCUUAGGAUGAUUUUUACCAAAUAUUAAUUUGUACUUAAGCUCCUUUUCCCUAUUCUUAAUAAUAAAAUCAUGUGCUACCAAACUCUUAUAAUCUAAGUAAACAGGAGGCAACAACUUUUCUUCUUUCUCAUAAUGCCUAAUAGGUAUGUUAAAAUGUGCAGCAAGGCGCGAGGCGAAGAUGCCUCCAAGGACGGGGCCCUUGGUAUGGUUAAGAUUUAACCGCUUUGCAGUAAUAGCGCCCAUGCUGAAUGUAUCAUCACGGAAUAAGGCAUGGCACAAAAUAAUAAUAUCAGGGGCACUCAGGUUUCCACAUUUUUCGCGCCCAAUCAAGCAUCUACUAGCAAAUAUAGCAAAGUAACGCAGAACAAGGAAGUGUAUGCUAGUAAUUCGUGCGUCGGAAACCUUCUUUCCCCUACAGUAAUGGUAUCAAUGAACCCAUCCACAUCGUCACGAUGUGGUUCCUCUACACUGCCCUCAAAAGGGAUCAGACAAACCCGACAAAAGUCACGAAGUGACAUCUCCUUAUGCUCAUCAUAUAAAUAAAAUUCCAUCGUAGGUGGUGAGCUCCUAGCAUGGAAAUGAAAGUUUCGCACAAAGAUAUUGGUGAGUAAGAGAUACUGUUCGCGUUGGUCUUGGAGGAAGGCGGUGAGGCCUACAUUGUCAGCCAACUCAUAGAAAUCAUCAUAAAUCCCGGCUGCUCUCAAGAAAUUAUCACAAGGCCAUUCACACGACCGGACCUCCGUGGUGCGAGGGAGAUUAUACUUGGGCCUCUUAUCCUCCUCACUUUGCUUAUCCUUCGAGCUUCGGCUCGAUGAGCCCCUAAAAAAUCUCUUCAUCUUUUUCUAAAAAUUUCUGAAAUUUUAGUAACUUCAAAAUAAAAGUGAACCAAACUCAACAAUAUUGAUAGCAACUACUCCUACAAGUGCCUAGAGGAAAUAUCAUGCAUCAAAACUACUUUUGACCACAUAAAUUUGACAUGCAAGCUCAAGAACAGGGUCACCUAAGCAGCAAAAAUAUGCAAUGAAUAAAGCACUAGAACAAAAACUAAUUGGACCAUUAGAGGAGGUACAUACCAAGGAACAAACCCCCAAAGCAGUUUUGUGAGAGAUGCUUUGAGCAAGGAGAUCGAAAAUCGCAGCAAAAUGAGCUAGAACUCGUGCUUGAGCUGGCUGGUGAUUUUUUUGGGAGGAAGAAGAAGUGUAUGGAUGCAGGAAUAAGUGGAGGGGAGCCACCAUGGGCCCACGAGGCAGGGGGCGCGCCUUGGACCCUCAUGGGCAGGUGCCAGCUCCCCCUGCUGUGUUCUCAGUGCCAAAUAUUCUCAAAUAUUUCAGAAAAAAUCAUAUUAAAUUGGCAGGGCAUUUAGAGAACUUUUAUUUUCGGGGUAUUUUUAUAUUGCACGAAUAAUUCAGAAAAUAGACAGAAAUUACUAUUUUUGCUGUAUUUAAACUAAAUAACAGAAAGUAAAAAGAGGGUACAGAGAGUUGUGUUUUCUAAAUUCAUCCAUCUCAUGCUCAUCAAAAAGAAUCCACUAACAAGGUUGAUCAGGUCUUGUUAACAAACUCAUUCCGAAUAACAUGGAACCGGAGAGUUUUCGAAUAACACUAGGUUACCUCAACGGGGAUAUGCACAUCCCCAACAAUAAGAAUAUCAUAUUUCUUCUUGACAGUAGGAAGAGAUAAUUCAAAACCUCCAAUAGUGAUUUUUGAAAAUUUUCCAAUAGAGUUUAUACUGUGGACUUGAGGUUGUUUCCUCAGAAAGUGUACCGUAUGCUCAUUACCAUUAACAUGAAAAGUGACAUUGCCUUUGGUGCAAUCAAUAACAGCCCCUGCAUAUUCAAAAAAGGUCUUCCAAGAAUAAUAGACAUACUAUCGUCCUCGGUAAUAUCAAGAAUAAAAAAGUACGUUAAAAUAGUAACAUUUGCAACCACAACAGGCACAUCCUCACAAAUACCGACAGGUAUAGAAGUUGAUUUAUCAGCCAUUUGCAAAGAUAUUUCAGUAGGUGUCAACUUAUUCAAAUAAAGUCUAUGAUAUAAAGAGAGAGGCAUAACACUAACACCGGCUCCAAGAUCACAUAAAGCAGUUUUAACAUAGUUUCUUUUAAUGGAGCAUGGUAUAGUUGGUACUCCGAGAUCUCCUAGUUUCUUAGGUAUUCCACCUUUAAAAGUAUAAUUAGCAAGCAUGGGGGAAAUUUUAGCUUCCGGUAUCUUUCUUUUAUUAGUAACAAUAUCUUUCAUGUACUUAGUAUAAGGAUUCAUUUUAAGCAUAUCAGUCAAACGCAUACGCAAAAAGAUAGGUCUAAUCAUUUCAGCAAAGCACUCAAAAUCCUCAUCAUCCUUUUUCUUGGAUGGCUUAGGAGGAAAGGGUAUGGGUUUCUGAACCCAAGACCAUCUUUCCUUAGCGUGUUUUCUAGCAACAAAGUCUCUCUUAUCAUAAUGUUGAUUCUUUGAUUGUGGGUUAUCAAGAUCAAUAGCAGGUUCAAUCUCUACAUCAUUGUCAUUACUAGGUCGAGCAUCAACAUGAACAUCAUCAUUAAUAUUUUCAUUAGGUUCAUAUUCAUUACCAGAUUGUGUUUCAGCAUCAGAAAUAGAAAUAUCAUUGGGAUUCUCAGGUGGUUCAGCAAUAGGUUCACUAGAAGCAUGCAAAGUCCUAUCUUUUUUCUUUUUCUUCCUUUUAGAAGGACUAGGUGCAUCUAUAUUAUUUCUCUGAGAAUCUUUCCCAAUUCUCUUAGGGUGUCCUUCAGGAUACAAAGGUUCCUGGGCCAUCUUACCAGUUCUAGUAGCCACUCUAACAGCAUAGUCGUUAUUCUUACUAUUCAAUUCAUUGAGCAAAUCAUCUUGAGCUUUAAGUACUUGUUCUACUUGAGUGGUAACCAUAGAAGCAUAUUUACUAAUGAGUUUAAGUUCACCUUUAACUCUAGACAUAUAAUCACCCAAGUGUUCAAUCAUAUAAGCAUUUUGUUUCAAUUGUCUACCAAAAUAAGCAUUGAAGUCUUCUUGCUUAACCAUAAAGUUAUCAAACUCAUCCAAACAUUGGCUAGCAAACUUAGUAGGAGGGAUUUCAGCUUUAUCAUAUCUAUAGAGAGAAUUUACCUUUACUACCUGUGUCGGGUUAUCAAGACCAUGUGUUUCUUCAAUAGGUGAUAGAUUAAGACCAUAUAUUUCUUCAACAGUCGGUAAAUUAAGACCAUGCAUUUCUUCAAUAGGAGGUAAAUUCUUAACAUCUUCAGCUUUAAUACCCUUUUCUUUCAUGGAUUUCUUUGCCUCUUGCAUAUCUUCAGGACUGAGAAAUAGUACACCCCUUUUCUUCGGAGUUGGUUUAGGAAUAAGCUCAGGAGUUGGCUCAGGAGUUGGCUUGGGAAGUGUCCAAUUAUUUUCAUUUUCAACAUAUUAUUCAAUAGAAUUUUAGCUUCAUCUGUUGUUCUUUCCCUGAAAACAGAACCAGCACAACUGUCCAGGUGGUCUCUGGAAGCAUUGGUUAGUCCAUUAUAAAAGAUAUUAAGUAUUUAAUUUUUCUUAAGAGGAUGAUCAGGCAAAGCAUUAAGUAAUUGGAGAAGCCUCCCAAGCUUGUGGGAGACUCUCUUCUUCAAUUUGCACAAAAUUAUAUAUACCCCUUAAGGGAGCUUGUUUCUUAUGAGCAGGGAAAUAUUUAGCAGAGAAGUAAUAAAUCAUAUCCUGGGGACUACGCACACAACCAGGAUCAAGAGAAUUAAACCAUAUCUUAGCAUCACCCUUUAACGAGAAUAGAUAUAUUUUAAGGAUAUAAAAGUAGCGAGUUCUCUCAUCAUUAGUGAACAGGGUGGCUAUAUCAUUUAAUUUAGUAAGAUGUGCCACAAUAAUUUCAGAUUCAUAGCCAUAAAACGGAUCAGAUUCAACCAAAGUAAUUAUAUGAGAUUCAAUAGAGAAUUCAUAAUCCUUAUCAGUAACAAAGAUAGGUGAAGUAGCAUAAGCAGGAUCAUAUUUCAUUCUAGCAUUCAGAGUUUUUUGUUUAAGCUUAGCUAAUAAUUUCUUAAGAUCACUUCUAUCAUUGCAUGCAAGAAAGUCUCUUUUAGUUUCUUCAUCCAUAACAUAGCCCUCAGGCACAAUAGGUAAUUCAUAUUUAUUGGGAGAGCCUUCAUCAUCACUUUCAUCAAUAUUAUCAGUUUCAAUAAUUUCAUUCUCUAUAGGCCUAGCAAGUUGUUCAUCAAGAAAUUCACCAAGUGGCACAGUAGUAUCAAGCAUAGAAGUAGUUUCAUCAUAAGUAUCAUGCAUAGCAGAAGUGGCAUCAUCAAUAAUAUGCGACACAUCAGAAUUAAUAGCAGAAGCAGGUUUAGGUGUCGCAAGCUUACUCAAAACAUAAGGUGAAUUAAGUGCACAACUAGAUGGCAGUUCCUUACCUCCCCUCGUAGUUGAGGGAUAAAUUUUUGUUUUUGCGUCUUCCAAGUUCUUAAUAGUGACCAGCAGAUAUAAAUCCCAAGUCACUCAAAGAAUAGAGCUAUACUCCCCGGCAACAGCGCCAGAAAAUAGUCUUGAUAACCCACAAGUAUAGGGGAUCGCAACAGUUUUCGAGGGUAGAGUAUUCAACCCAAAUUUAUUGAUUCGACACAAGGGGAGCCAAAGAAUAUUCUCAAGUAUUAGCAGCUGAGUUGUCAAUUCAACCACACCUGGAAACUUAAUAUCUGCAGCAAAGUGUUUAGUAGCAAAGUAAUAUGAUAGUAGUGGUAACCAUAGCAAAAGUAACGGUAGCAAAAGUAAUGUUUUUGGUAUUUUGUAGUGAUGAUAACAAUAGCAACGGAAAAGUAAAUAAGCAAAGAACAAUAUAUGAAAAGCUCGUAGGCAAUGGAUCAGUGAUGGAGAAUUAUGUCGGAUGUGGUUCAUCAUGUAACAGUCAUAACAUAGGGUGACACAGAACUAGCUCCAAUUCAUCAAUGUAAUGUAGGCAUGUAUUCCGAAUAUUGUCAUACAUGCUUAUGGAAAAGAACUUGCAUGGCAUCUUUUGUCCUACCCUCCCGUGGCAGCGGGGUCCUAACGGAAACUAAGGGAUAUUAAGGCCUCCUUUUAAUAGAGUACCGAACCAAAGCAUUAACACAUAGUGAAUACAUGAACUCCUCAAACUACGGUCAUCACCGGGAGUGGUCCCGAUUAUUGUCACUUCGGGGUUGCCGGAUCAUAACACAUAGUAGGUGACUAUAGACUUGCAUGAUAGGAUCAAGAACUUGCAUAUAUUCAUGAAAACAUAAUAGGUUCAGAUCUGAAAUCAUGGCACUCGGGCCCUAGUGACAAGCAUUAAGCAUAGCAAAGUCAUAACAACAUCAAUCUCAGAACAUAGUGGAUACUAGGGAUCAAACCCUAACAAAACUAACUCGAUUACAUGAUAAAUCGCAUCCAACCCAUCACCGUCCAGCAAGCCUACGAUGAAAUUACCCAGCACGGCAAUGUGCAUCAUGAAAUUGGUGAUGGAGGAUGGUUGAUGAUGACGAUGGCGACGGAUUCCCCUCUCCGGAGCCCCGAACGGACUACAGAUCAGCCCUCGCGAGAGAGUUUAGGGCUUGGGGCGGCUCCAUAUCGUAAAACGCGAUGAAUCUUUUUCUCUGAUUUUUUUCUCCCCGAACACGAAUAUAUGGAGUUGGAGUUGAGGUUGAUGGAGCUCCAGGGGGCCCACAAGGCAGGGGGCGCGCCCCCACCCUCGUGGCUAGGGUGUGGGCCCCUUGGCCUUGAUUCUUUGCCAGUAUUUUUUAUUAUUUCCAAAAAUAAUCUCCGUGGAGUUUCAGGUCAUUCCGAGAACUUUUGUUUCUGCACAUAAAUAACACCAUGGCAAUUCUGCUGAAAACAACGUCAGUCCGGGUUAGUUCCAUUUAAAUCAUGCAAAUUAGAGUCCAAAACAAGGGCAACAGUGUUUGGAAAAGUAGAUACGACGGAGACGUAUCAUUGCUCCUGGGAUGUUCGGGAUGGAGAACCAGGAGGGGAACGUCAAGGCGCCUAGUGUGGAGCUAGCUCGGGUCCAUGUGCGCUACUCCGACCACUUCCGGGAAGGAGAAAGAGGAUGAGCUCAUGUCAUGCACUUUGUUGCUAGUGUCGGUGAUGGGAAAAGGAUGAGGUGAUGCAAAUUCGGUUGGUCAAGGGCCACACAAAGGUAUUCUGAAAGAUUUCCUCGUGUAAGAGACGAAACAAGGCUAAGCGGACAUUGACGACGGGAGAAGGCCAAGCCCUUUUGUUACCCAUGUUGAUGCAAUGUCCGCUUUUUAGUGGGCGCUUUCGCCUCGUUUAGAUCCAGUUGGCGACGUCCUUCAUGCUAGGUACGGGGAGCUCCUAUCUGAUGGUUGUGGGUCAAAUAGCCCUUUAAUGCUUACAUUGGUCAGCCCAAUAUGCCCCGUGUAUGGAGAACAUUUCUAAUUCUUGUGAAGACAAAUCAGUUUUCUACCCAGGUUCUGGAACCCAGUUCCGCAUAUAUUUGGUACGGGUAUGUUUGGUUUAAGCCCCAGGUUGCCACACCAAAAUUUUGGUAUAACCAAUGUCAGGGCAUGACCAAAAUUUUGAUAAGCAAUUCUUGUUUGGAUUGUAGCCAUCGAAAAAGCUGCCCACAAAUGCACAUGCAUGCUAAUCGUGCGAGGGCCCACUAAGUAACUAUCGGACAAAGAAUUUGCAGCCUAGUUGCAUGCACCACAGUAAUAAAAAAGAUAAAACUACCUGGGACCCACCAAGACAGAGAGGGCAAAAGGUGCGCCAAUUUUUUGGCGGAGCUUCUCCGCGUCCUCAGCUCGCCAACUCGUUGGCCAAAAUUACACAAGCGAUUGGCGGCUGCCGUUGGCGCGCCGAUUUUUUGGCACCAAUCCAAACGAGACCCAAAGUCUGUGGGCAAGCCAAAAUUUUGGUAUGGUAUGUUCUGGCUGUCAUCCAAACGCACCAUCCAAGCCAUUGCGACACUAGCUAAGACAUUUGUGGUAGAUCAGUGAAAUAUGCCCAGCACUCUACGAAAAUCUGGAUGAAACUUAAUGUAUGCAAACUGUUCCAUAGAAUGUGAAAUUUGGGAUGGAGCAUGGCAGAAUGCUAAAAUAGUUGCAUAGAAGUAUCAGCACCUUUCAUGAUUGAACAUUCAAACUUUGUCAAAAUAUAUGUUGAAAAUGCAAGGAGUAGCCUUUUCGUUCUUGCAUUUUCUUUUGGGAACCCUUCUUGCAUUUCUAUCUCAAUAUAUUGGUAUAGUUGUCUUGUACGAAAUGAGAACCUAGGAAUAUUUAUCGGGCAAGUUAAAAUACAAAUAUAUUCGUAUGUCGCAGUCACCAGCAAUGCAACUUGCGAAGCUGGGAUUGGUGUCCAGAAUGUCAACUUAGUUCCAUCGAAACGUAUCAAACUGUCCAAACAGACAAAAAGGAGAACAUACGGUGGACAACAAGGGGCCAGACAUGGCGUCCCCCACAGCUCUCGCCGUCCUCGUGUUUGCAGUGCUCAUCGUCCCGUUCCCGCCGAUAACUUCCGCAAACCACAAUCAUGGCUUCCGCGCCUCCCUCACUCGCAUGCGCCAACAAUUCAGCAACUACUCCGCCGCGGUACACGGCGACACGCACCGCCUGGCUUUCCUCGCGCGCGCUCCAACGACGAACGCCACGACCACCCUUGCCCUCCAGGCGCUGGUCGAGAACGGUGCCGGAGCGUACCACAUGAGCUUGUCCAUCGGCACGCCGGCGCUCACCUUCCCUGCCAUCCUCGACACCGGCAGCGACCUGGUCUGGACGCAGUGCGCGCCGUGCACCCAGUGCUUCCCGCAGCCGACGCCGCUGUACGACCCGGCGGGCUCCUCCACCUUCUCCAAGCUCCCGUGCGCGAGCCCGCUCUGCCAGUCCAUGCCGAGCCCCUUCCGCGCCUGCAACGCCAGCGGCUGUGCCUACGACUACCGCUACGUCGUCGGCUUCACCACCGGCCGCCUCGCCACGGAGACGCUCACCGUCGGCGACGCCACGUUCCGCGACGUCACGUUCGGGUGCAGCACGGCGAACGGCGGGCACAUGGACAACGCGUCGGGCAUCGUGGGGCUCGGGCGCAGCCCGCUGUCCCUCGUGUCGCAGCUCGGCAUCGGCCGGUUCUCCUACUGCCUCCGCUCGGAUUCGGAGGCCGGCGCCAGCCCGAUACUGUUCGGCUCCCUGGCCAGCGUGACAGGCGACAACGUCCAGUCCACGCCGUUCGUCCGGAACCCCGCGGUGCCGGUGCGACGCGCCCCGUACUACUACGUGAACAUCACCGGCGUCACGGUCGGCGCGACAGGCCUCCCGGUCGCGCCCAGCACGUUCGGCUUCACGCACGCCGGCGCGGGUGGCGUGAUCGUCGACUCCGGCACGACCUUCACGUACUUUGCCGAGGCGGGGUACGCGAUGCUGAGGCAGGCGUUCCUCUCGCAGACGGCUGGCCGGCUGACGAGAGUGAGCGGCGCCCCGUUCGACUUCGACCUGUGCUUCGAGUCAGGCGGCGACCUCGACGUCGACGCCGUGCCCGUGCCAGGUCUGGUGCUCCGUUUUGCGGGCGGCGCGGAGUACACCGUCCCGCGGCGAAGCUACUUCGACGCCGUGGACGAGCAAGGCCGUGUGGCGUGCUUGCUGGUGCUGCCGACGAGGGGCGUGUCCGUCAUAGGCAACGUGAUGCAGAUGGACCUGCACGUACUCUACGAUCUCGACGGCGGGGUGCUAUCCUUCGCCCCGGCUGAUUGCGCUAGUGUUUGAUCACGGCGUCACAUUGUUGAUUAUAAUGUCGGUUCACAAUUUUUAUGAACUAGACGACUAUAUAUCGACGCGGAUCUUUCAAACGUGUGGCGAAUGCACCUGCAAUGGAAAAACAAUUUUUUAAAAAUAAAAAGAGUUGAAAUAAUUCUGAUAUUUUUUUUGUAACAAACAUGGUCUAACAGUGAAACGAAAAUGUUCACUAGCUGGUUAGUAGUUACACACACUGGAUGUUCAUGGUAAACAUAGGACCCGCUGUUUCACUGGCACAUCGUUUGUCUUUCGAUUCUCCUCCGCCUAUGACGACUUUUGACCUAGUUUAGGAGUCGGUUCGAUACAUGUUUGUUAGUACUACAUUAUAUAUAUAUAUAUAUAUAUAUGUAUGUAUGUAUGUAUGUAUGUAUGUAUAUAGUGUUACUAUUCAUCACCCAGGGUGCAUAAUAAGUUAUUCUUCACCCGAGGUAAUUACGUUUGGAAUACAAAUAGUUACAUUAAUAUUGAUUCACUAUAUAAAAUUUGGUAUAAGAAAAUAAAGUAGGUUAUAAGACCAAAAAUACCGCAUUUUUAAUGAUGUUUUUACGUUCGUAACUUUACAUAACAUAAAAUAUUUUUUACGGCGAGUAUAUUUUUUCUUACGUUCUCUUUUUACGUAUGAAAUAUGAUAAAAUUUAUGAAACCUAAAAAUACGAUGCAUUGACGUCAAAAUAUAGAGGGGGUGUAUAUUGUCAUAGGAGCAAUCGGACACGCCACACCUGAACAGGACUUGGGAUCAACACAGGCAUGCGUUCCAUCACCUUAGUAGUAUCACGUAUGCUAGAAAGCUUCUCAUCGAUAUUUUAUUUCCUUUCUGCUCUUUAGAUAUUGGUUUUCUAGUGCAAGUCUUCGCCUACUCUUCUGUUAUCCAUACGGUUUACGUACGAAGUGACUUGGCAUUCAUUAGUAAGACCAUAGGAUACGAGAACGCACUAGCUAACCCACGGUAACAUUCUUCUGAUCUGAUGUAAGGUAGUAAGCCAGAAGAAUUCUGUUGACUGCAAGGCAAUAAAUACCCGGUGCACCAUUGAUGCUAGAAGAAUAAUACACGAGCUCAGCUUGAACUUUCCGAAAGGCUACUCUCCGAAUACGAAAGUUAACCAGAAUCCCCUUACCGACUGGCAAGUGGUGGCCCCUGAUGAGCAUUGCCGCAUGUAAUAAUAUCCAGUUUUAGCAGCUCUCCAAAGGAACAGUCCAUGAAUUGGUCCGUGCAUAAAGACUGACAACGCUACUCAAACAAAUAGGAGUACCUUUCAGAUUACAGACAAGCCAUCUCAGUAGUUUGGCAAAGCAAUACUGAGUACGAUGGCGACAAUGAACGUAGCAGAGAUGAGCAAAACGAACAAUGCUCGUCUAAGACUUUGGAACACGUGUAUGUUGAUAAAUCCUCUCCAUCCGGCUCGACGCCAUAUCGCCUUCCCCAGCCCCAGAUGGAACGGAGCCCAGAUGCCAGGGAAGCAGAGAAGCACUGAAGCUAAGGACAAGGUGUAUACGAGGAUGAUGACCCAACGGUUGACUGAACCCAGGAUGAGGUGAAACCCGAAUGCAAACGCAGCAAUCAUACAUUGAGAUCCCACCGGCACCAAGCCAGUUGCCAGCAAGUUGUACAAGUGACGGUGGACCCGCGGAAUUUCUCUUGCACCACCAUAUAUAAGAAAGCAGGUCGCGGUAAGGGAGCAGAGGAAGGCCAUGGUGUCUGAAAUCACAAAUGCCCGGAACGCGAAACGUCUCGCCAGCGUUGCUGUCCCUGCAUGCCCAUGGUCGUCGGCGACGAACNNNNNNNNNNNNNNNNNNNNNNNNNNNNNNNNNNNNNNNNNNNNNNNNNNNNNNNNNNNNNNNNNNNNNNNNNNNNNNNNNNNNNNNNNNNNNNNNNNNNNNNNNNNNNNNNNNNNNNNNNNNNNNNNNNNNNNNNNNNNNNNNNNNNNNNNNNNNNNNNNNNNNNNNNNNNNNNNNNNNNNNNNNNNNNNNNNNNNNNNNNNNNNNNNNNNNNNNNNNNNNNNNNNNNNNNNNNNNNNNNNNNNNNNNNNNNNNNNNNNNNNNNNNNNNNNNNCCCGAAGGCCAUGGUGGCGAUUAGCACUGACACGAUUGUUCUACUUUCUGUAAUCAUGUCUUGUUUAUGUGAUGCUUCUUCACGAGUGGGUUUGUUGUACACGUUACGAAGAUAAAGGGGGUGGACUCCAUCUAAAGUAAUCGCUGCCCCCAACCAGCCCAGACAACUGCGCACAAUAAUAUGAGGAUCCUGUUCAUAAAACAAGUUUAGGGCUCAUUUAGUUUGCAGGAUCCUUAAAAGGCAGGUACAGCAAAAACAUAUAAAUGAGAUAGAAAUGCAUGCGCAAAUCAGAGGACCGGUAAACACAAGUGUUCUAUUAACUUUGAUGUUUCCUUCACAUGAAUUCAAAAACAUAGGUCAAAUCAAUGCUUAUAAUAACCAGGGUCAAAUCAAAGUCAACCUAGAUACACAUGUAUUGUUAGAGCAUCUACAACCGGACACCUCAAACACCCCUCAAAUAGGGAUGGCAAUGGGUACCCAUUACCCACGUAUCCUGCGGGUAAAAACCCUAUUAGGGUAAGGGUGUGUGACAAAAAGUUACCCAUAGGUAUAUAAAUAGGGAAAUCUAAAACCCAUCAGAUAGAGCGGGUAAGGGUAUGAGAUCGUAUAACGCAUACCCAUGUACCCAUAUAAAAUCUAUGUGAACUGAAAAUGUAUGAAACAUGUGUUGUUGUUUUUAACUAUGUGAUGUUUUGAUGUGUUGUUGUUUAUGAGAAAGUGAUGUUGUUUAUUAAAUGUGUUGUUGUUUAUAACUAUGUGUUGUUAUAAUCUGUUGCUUAUAAAUUAUGAUAUGUGUUGCUGUUAUGACUAUGAGUUGUUCAAAUUAGUGCUUUGAAAACAUGGGUAAUUUUACCCGCGGGUACCCGUUACCCGACAUAGAAAAAAUUGUACCCAUUGACGGGUAUGGGUAAGGAUGGUGGGUAAUCUCAAGGGGGGAGGGGUAAGUGGGGUGGCUCCACUCAUACCCAAACCCUACGGGUGCCACCCUCAAACGACCGACUAGAUCAGUGGCCGGUCAACAAUAAAAGUGUCUCAAACCGGCCUCAAACGCCUGGACUGAUCGGCGCCCCUCAUAUCCAGACUAAAUCUGGGGCGGAUAUAGGGCGCCCGAGCGUAGCCUGGUGCGUCCGCUACAUCGGAACAAACAGCUCGAUCCCAACAAAAAGUGCACCAAACCCCCUUCGACCUACCCUCUCCUCUUCUUUUCCUCCUCUAGAUCACUUGCUCCUCUCCUCUCUUCUUCCUCCUCAGCGCCGGACGUGUCCUAGCUCCGCUGCCACACUUGCGCCAGACUACACCUUGCCCUCUACGUGUUCUACACAUUGUCCGACUAGAUCAUUGGGUAAUUUUUUGGUAGGCAGAACGAUAGAUUCAGAUGGUUCGUCGGACGACCGGUAUGGCCCGACGGAGCUUGAUGAAAUGAUUCAAAAAGAUUCGGGCAAGCAUCAAUGCUCCCUUUGUGAGGAAUAUGGAUUAUCUAAGCAGAGAAGAUUGAUAGUGACGAUCCCUCGUUCAGAAUGGGUGCAAUGAUGACCGAAGUUUAUCGCUUUUGGACGAUGUGGCUAUUUAAGCCGGUCCCGUCACUCCUCGUGCGGCGAGGUGGGACUAAACCCCCAAACCUUCCGGCCCAACACAGAUGUCGUCGACAUUGGAAACCUUAAGUACGAACUAUCCCGCCAGCCCAAUAGGACUAAAAACAUCCAAAAUGAUCAAUGUGCAUGUGCUUGCAUGUAUUUGGUGUUAUAAAAAAAUAGGGUUUGUGCUUGCAAAUGGAAAAAAUUUAAGGCCCGUUCGAUCAUUGUCCGCGGGCGUGUCCAGAAGCGUCAGCGGACGUAUAGGGACCCGGAUUUGCCUACCGUGGCUGUAGAUGCUCCUAUGCAUCAAAUCAAAGUCAAACUCCAUGAAUAUGGUGGUCAUUAGUGGUGGGCUUGGCUGUGGAGGUGCCAGCCACGCAACGGUGAGCGUUAGUAUGUACCCGCCACAAGUUGCUACUAUUCAUGACUUCGACACAAAGGAAUUGAGCGAAGGGAAAAUGGAAAAAAAAAAUCUUUGAUCUCAUUUUCAAAGGAAGAGCAGGUAUUUUAACAUCCACUUGGACCUCUUUUUAAAAUUUCUAUGUACGAGGAAUGAGACUAAGAUCCUUAGUGACAUAAUAAUCUCUAAAUAGGUUUUCGCCUCACUUUAUAGAUAAAGUAACCACCAUAUCCAUGUGGUUUGACAUUGUUUCUUCAAAUUCAAAAUGACACAAUAGAUAAAUUUGACUUUUUGCAGAUCAACAACACACUAGAACUACAAUAAGUAAGAAAAAGAACAGAACUAUUGUUCCAAAAUGACAAUUAAGUUUGUUACGUAAUAUUGUUGUUCGAAUGAUUUGUUGGUCUGCAAAGUUUCAAGUUACAGGCUGUGUUGUCUAGGAAAAAUAGAAAAGAGAAGUUUCUACGAAGUGAAGCACAGAUCUUUUCGCAAAGAAAAAAAGAAGUAAAGUAUAGAUCCCAAUGCAACAUUGGACAACCUAGAUAGAAGAUGCACUUUCGUGGGGGACUGGGGGUUGAGAGAAAUCCAUUCCCUUAUGAACAGGGUUAGUAAGUUGUACUAAGUGGGCAACAAUUAACAUGGAUCGGAGGGAGUAAACAUUAGAGAUAUAACACAAUGUGGAGAUAGUAGUAGAAGACAACUUUACCUGGAAAUAGUACAUCCGGCCAGGUACUAUUGCACGGAUAGCAGGAUCCAUAGCAGUUAGCCCAUCGUUGUUGGUAAUGCUUGUCUCCACACUUGUCGUCUUCAGUAGUAAAAUGACAAUCUUGGGAUAUCCAUGAUGGGCAGCCAGAUGGAGUGGAGUGUUCCCUCCAGAAUCCGUAGCAUUCCACAGCAUCGAGAACAUGUCAUUCCGGCAAAUAUGGCGAACCGCGGUUUCCCGACCAUGCUCCACAGCACAGUGCAGAAUAUUUCUUCCUUUACCAUCAACCAUCUCAUAGCAGUCAGGGAUUCUGUGUAUGAGCUCCUCCAUGAUUCUAGUUUGUCCCACCAUAGCAGCAAUAUGCAGAGGAAAUGACCCGUUGCCAUCAGAAAUGCUAGCCAGCCCGAGGGAAGCAUGGCCAUCAAGGAAGAGCACAACUACAUCAAGCCGUCCAUACAGUACUGCAAAAUGGAGAGGCGUGCUCCCUGACGAAUCAGCCCUGGUUAGCAACGUUGGACCUUCUGGCCCCCAGCUCGAGCUCAGUAUUGCUUCAGCCAUUUCUACAGGGAAAUUUGCUAGUAUGUCAGCGCGUGAGUACAGGUUGAAAUUUACUGAAAGGAUUGUAGCAGUAACUUUGCUUGAAACAUCAAAAUUGAAGCCAAAAAGCUCUUGGAAGAAGUAGAGAAGCGGUAGCUGUAGACCUUUUCAGUCCUACCUCUGCUCCUAGCCGCCGCAGCAUGCAAAGCAGUCCGUCUCUCCGGACCAGAAAACAACGCCGCCGAGGGUGUUCCGUUUUGCGACGGGCGUAGCAGCGCGCGGACCAUCGGGAUCGAGCCGGUCACCGCCGCCAGGUAGAGCGGCGAGACACCCUCGUCGCCGUCAACGGAGGCCAGAUCGGGAGCCUCCGUCAUGAGCAGAUCCACCACACCGGCACGCCCGUGCCGGACGGCUUCGUACAAGGCGGUUGCGCCCGACUGGUUCCUCGCGCGCAGCGCGGACUCCUCCUCCGCCCCGCCGGCUCGCAUCCUCGGCAAGAGCACAGCCGCCACAUCCGCAUGGCCGAACCUCGCCACGCAGUGCAGCGGAGUGUCGAGGCACUUGUUGCGCGCGGUGACCAGCGAGGGCGCCCUCUCGCAGAGGAGCGUCGCCAGCUCGACGUGGCCGCGGCUGGCGGCGACAAGGUGCAGAGCCGUGUUCCCGUUGCUCGCCACGCCUAGGAGAAAGCGGCUUGGUGUCGCGCCAUGGACGUUUACCGCGACGUGGCCCUGGCCGGCUGUUUGCUGGCGGCGGUGGCCGGCACCAUGGUCUUGUCUGCUCAGUAUCUCCUCCAUGCGGACCUUGUCGCCGGCGGUUAGCACUUGCAACAGCUCCGCGUCAAGCGUCAUCUUCUCGUGAGGGCCGAAUUGUACCGCCGCCAUGUUGUGAUCUGCUAUGCUAUUUGGGAUGCUUGCUCUGUUCUCUACUCCUGCAUGAUAUGGCAGUGUUUUGAACUUGGAAGAGUUGCAUGGACAAGAGAGACGACUCGGCUCCCUCUUGGUCCGCUGGAGGUCUUUGUAGUAUACUCCCUUCGUCCAGAAAAAUUUGGUGCUACAUACAUCCCUUUGAGGGACAAAUUUAAAAUAAAUAUUUUCGGACGAAGGGGUAUAAGUGUAGAAUUGCACACAUCAGUCAGUUCACCCAAAAGCGUUCCAAACCACAAUGCGGCCGAAGAGUCCUGAAAAGACCNNNNNNNNNNNNNNNNNNNNNNNNNNNNNNNNNNNNNNNNNNNNNNNNNNNNNNNNNNNNNNNNNNNNNNNNNNNNNNNNNNNNNNNNNNNNNNNNNNNNNNNNNNNNNNNNNNNNNNNNNNNNNNNNNNNNNNNNNNNNNNNNNNNNNNNNNNNNNNNNNNNNNNNNNNNNNNNNNNNNNNNNNNNNNNNNNNNNNNNNNNNNNNNNNNNNNNNNNNNNNNNNNNNNNNNNNNNNNNNNNNNNNNNNNNNNNNNNNNNNNNNNNNNNNNNNNNNNNNGCCGCCGAGGGCGUUGAGCUUGGCGGCGUGGGGCGGCGAAGUUCCGGCGGCGGCCCGAUGCGGUGGCCGUGGUGGUGGGGUGGGGCGUUUCCCCGUCGGGUGGUGCCGCCUGUGGCGAUGACGGGCAGGAGUCUCGGUUCUGCCCGAUCCUGCUCGUUCUUAUCUGGAUCUGGCUGACCGGGUACAUUCAGGCACGAUGACGCCGAGUCUCCAUGGCUGUUGGGCACUAUGCUGGUGCAGGCGACUGCGGUGGUGGCUUGGUGUGGUGGUGGCCUUCGACAGUGCACACCGGGAGGAGUGAAGGAGCGGUGGUCUUGGCGGGGACAUGCAGUAGUGCGGUGAGGCGGACUGGCGCGAUGGCGUAUUUGGAGGGGGCGAUGCGAUCCAUCGACCAGACCAGUGGCGGCACUGUGUUGGCUCGGCUAGGAUGGAGUUCUUAGCGAGCAGAGAGCGUUGGGCCACCUCUAGGCUGUCUGGCGAGCGGUGGUGCUCACCAGGUGGUGCCAGCAUGGGAGUUGUCCGAGGCUAGGUGCUGGGUCGUUGCAAGGCUGCCCCUUGGAGCGAGUGAUAGCCUUCACGGGCGGUUCAGGCUCUUGCCGGAGGUGUUGGGUGGUUGUUGUCCCUCGACCAGGUGGAAGGUGUUUGUUGGACCAUGCUUCUCUCUGCCGUGCGGUUUGUUGGUGGUCCUCAGCUUUGCAGCUACGAUGGCGAGGAGUUGCACUGGCGGCAGUGCGAGGCUACUGAAGGAAAUAUGCCCUGGAGUCAAUAAUAAAGUUGUUAUUUAUAUUUCCUUAUAUCAUGAUAAAUGUUUAUUAUUCAUGCUAGAAUUAUAUUAACCGGAAACUUAGUACAUGUGUGAAUACAUAGACAAACUGAGUGUCACUAGUAUGCCUCUACUUGACUAGCUCGUUAAUCAAAGAUGGUUAAGUUUCCUAACCAUUGACAUGAGUUGUCAUUUGAUUAACGGGAUCACAUCAUUAGAGAAUGAUGUGAUUGACUUGACCCAUCCGUUAGCUUAGCAUGAUGAUAGUUUAGUUUGUUGUUAUUGCUUUGUUCAUAACUUAUACAUGUUCCUAUGACUAUGAGAUUAUGCAACUCGCAAAUACCGGAGGAACACUUAGUGUGCUAUCAAAUGUCACAACGUAACUGGGUGACUAUAAAGAUGCUCUACACGUGUCUCCGAUGGUUUUUGUUGAGUUGGCAUAGAUCGAGAUUAGGAUUUGUCACUCUGUGUAUCGGAGAGGUAUCUCUGGGCCCUCUCGGUAAUGCACAUCACUAUAAGCCUUGCAAGCAAAAUGACUAAUGAGUUAGUUACGGGAUGUUGCAUUACGGAACGAGUAAAGAGACUUGCCGGUAACGAGAUUGAACUAGGUAUUGAGAUACCGACGAUCGAAUCUCGGGCAAAUAACAUACUGAUGACAAAGGAAACAACGCAUGUUGUUAUGCGGUUUGACCGACAAAGAUCUUCGUAGAAUAUGUAGGAACCAAUAUGAGCAUCUAGGUUCCGCUAUUGGUUAUUGACCGGAGAUGAGUCUUGGUCAUGUCUACAUAGUUCUCGAACCCAUAGGGUCCGCAUGCUUAACGUUCGAUGACGAUCAGUAUUAUGAGUUUAUGUAUUUUGAUGUACCGAAGGUAGUUCGGAGUCCCGGAUGUGAUCACAGACAUGACGAGGAGUCUCGAAAUGGUCGAGACAUAAAGAUCGAUAUAUUGGAAGGCUAUGUUUGGACAUCGGAAUGGUUCCAGAUGAGUUCGGGCAUUUACCGAAGUACCCGGGAGUUACCAGAACCCCCCGGUGUCGAUGUCAAAACCGGCGGAUCUCGGGUUGGGGGUCCCGAACUGUGCGUCUAAGGCUGAUGGUAACAGGAGGCGGGGGACACAAUGUUUACCCAGGUUCGGGCCCUCUCGAUGGAGGUAAUACCCUACUUCCUGCUUGAUUGAUCUUGAUGAUAUGAGUAUUACAAGAGUUGAUCUACCACGAGAUCGUAGAGGCUAAACCCUAGAAGCUAGCCUAUGAUUAUGAUUGUUGUUGUCCUACGGACUAAACCCUCCGGUUUAUAUAGACACCGGAGGGGUCUAGGGUUACACAGAGUCGGUUACAAUGGAGGAGAUCUACAUAUCCGAAUUGCCAAGCUUGCCUUCCACGCAAAGGAGAGUCCCACCCGGACACGGGACGAAGUCUUCAAUCUUGUAUCUUCAUAGUCCAACAGUCCGGCCAAAGUAUAUAGUCCGGCUUCCGAGGACCCCCUAAUCCAGGACUCCCUCAGUAGCCCCUGAAUCAGGCUUCAAUGACAAUGAGUCCGGCGCGCAGAUUGUCUUCGGCAUUGCAAGGCGGGUUCCUUCUACGAAUACUCCAUAGAAGAUUUUGAACACAAGGAUCGUGUUCGGAUCUGCAAAACAAAUUCCACAUACCACCAUAGAGAGUAUAUUAUUCCACAAAUCUAAUCUGCUGACAACUUUUCAUAACGUGACGUCCUGCCGUGGCCCGGUCAUUACAAACCGUUUUCCCUGCUUGCCACUGCAUGUGUUGCGAGGCGGUUUUAUUGGCACGUCUUGUCGAAGCAGAGAUCGUGUUCCCCUUAUCACGAUAUUCUCAUCAAUAUGGAUAUGGGUAACCCAACCAUGCCAUCAAUCGUGGUGCUUGGGGAAUAAGCGAUUUAUGGGGCAAGUAGGGAGGCGCACAGUUUCUACCGCCUUUAUAAAGGGACAAGAAUUCCUCUUUUUCACCCACGCCUUCUUCUUCCCCUGCCCAUCCAUUCUCGCGCACUCGAGCUCCAGCGCCCAGGUUCUCGUCUUCUCCGCAAAGCCAUUCCAAACAUGUCCGGAGCGGGAGGCAAGUGGAUGGUCUCCUCCGUUACGGAGGAGAACAUUACGAAGCUCCGGGAAGCCGGAUACCUGGCCGCAGACAUCGCGCACCGGCUCCCAGACGCGGGGCAGAUCGUCCCUACUCCAGAACCCCAUGAGAGGGUUGUAUUCCUCACCCACUUCGUCCGCGAACUGGGAUUUUCCCUCCACCCAUUUGUCCGUGGGCUCAUGUUCUACUACAGGCUGGACUUCCAUGAUCUGGCCCCCAAUUUCAUCCUCAACAUCUCGACGUUUAUCAUCGUGUGCGAGGCCUUCCUCCGCAUCAAGCCCCACUUCGGCCUGUGGCUGAAGACCUUCAACGUGAAACCGAAGGUGGUGGUAGGCCAGCGAGCGGAGUGCGGAGGCGCCAUGGUGGGCAAAAUGCCCAACGUCACCUGGCUCGAAGGCUCCUAUGUGGAGACCAUGAAGGGGUGGCAAUUGGGGUGGUUCUACAUCACCGAGCCGCGCAACACCAACUGGGUGGCGGCCCCCGAAUUUCGAUCCGACAUCCCCACGUGGCUCACCUCCUGGAAAGAGAAUGGCCUAUCCUGGGGUUCAUCGGUGGAGCUGACCGGACUCCAGAACUGUGUUAAAAAUAUGAUAAGCAAGAAAAUCAAGCUUGUCAACAUGGUCCGGGUCAUGCUCUUCCACCGGAUCCUUCCGUGUCAAAGACGGGCAUUCAAUAUGUGGGAGUUCGACCCGGCCAAGCACCAGACGCUACGAGAGCUGUUCGACACAAUGCACAAAGACAUCUGGAAGGUGCUGUUCAAGGCCGCCGAGGUACCUCCUCCCCUUAUCGAGGAUUGUGGACUCAGCGCAAAGUGCCCUGCCAAUCCGGUAAGCUCUUUAUAUCUCAUAAUAUGUUCCUUUCCCCAGUAUAAUCAUGUGAGGGAUCUGAGCCUCCACGCCAUUUUAACAGGACUGGAUAGCGACAACGGAGCGGAUCGAUUGUCCGACCCCAUUGCCCGAAGAUCCAACAAGGGCUCUCUUAACGGAGAUGAUGGUUCCGGCACCCUAUGACGCGUCAGAGAAGAAGGCCAAGAAGAAGGCCACGGGGACCAGGAAAGGUCUCCGGCGCAAGGUUGUAUCGGACUCAUUGUCCAAAAACACCGAGGCGCACUCCUCCCAUGAAAACGAGGAGGAGGAAGAGGAAAGUCCCCCCGCCCCAACUGGGGGGACAAGAAAAGGAAGGCCGCCCCAUCUAGGGAGGGCGAAGGGUCCAAGAAGGGAAGGACCCUCCUUUCGGACCACUCCACAACAGCCGCUUACAGCGACAAGGAGUGGUUGCCCAUGGACAAGCCCCUGGCGAAGUUGUAAGUAUCCGUAUACUAUAAUAAUUCUGGUAUGUUUCGUUUUAUUGCUUCUUAUCAUGUCAAACAUGAUCAUGCAGUCCAUCCAAAGCCCAUAUCGACGUAUCCUCUUCGGAUGAGUCUUUGGGACAGUCGGCGAUGAAUAGCGAUUCACUCCCGACAGCCACCUCCCCCCGGCCCACGGACGACAUCGAGGUGUUGUCUCAAAGGGCACCGAACCAAGGGGAGAUAAUUCUGGAGGCGCCCCAAGGCAACAUCCCAGAUGCCGGGCGCAUGGGGGGUAAGACUCCCAUGGGUUCUAAUGACGGGGGACGCAGCAAGUUUGGCCCCCAGCCGGAUACUGCGCCGGAACCUCCAGUGGUCCCGGAUUCUGUCAGGCGACCCCUCGCUAAGGGGGGUGAGCCAUCUGUGUCGAUGGCCUUUGUCCAUCCAGAGGCAUCAGACAACUUGCUGGAAGCGCUUCCUGGCGCUUCCAUUGACAAAGAGCACCGCACCAUCAUGAGUGCGGUGGUCGAGAAGGUUCGGUCCACCAAAAGCAGAUUGACCAAAGCCUGUGCCAGCCUCCUAACAGGCUUUGAGGUAAGUAAUCAAAUUAUGAGAAAAUAUCACAUCAUAGACAGUAGCCCCUGAUGCUCUGUUUGGUGUUCACAAAGAAAGGCCGAACAGAGGAUCAAAUAACAAUCACAGGAGUCUAAUCAGAAUAUGUCUAUGUGAAUAAGCAGGCUUCGCUGCGGGCCGCUGCCGCUCGUACUGCGGAGGUCUUUGGACUGAAGCGGGACCUUGAGCGGUCCAAGGAAGAGCUCAGCCUUACCAAGAGGCAGCUCGAAGAGAACAAAGAUAAGUGAUACCCCGUCUGUAUAUUGAUAAAGAAAAAAGUGGUUAUUAGAUCAUAGGAUCAUCAUGAAUUUUGCUAGGGGCCACGACCGAAGUGGCGGCCGUGAAGAAGAGCUGUCCGAGGCCGAAGACAAAGCGGCCAAGGAGCGCAUCGAGCGCGAGAAGUAAGAGGCCUGAGUCGGCGAGGUUCAGCAAGAGCUCCAGGAUUUUGUCAAGAAAUACGAGUCCUUGGAGCGUGACUCUAAGACGCAGGGGUCCGAGCUUGCGAAGGCCCUCGAGAACGCACAAAAUGCCAAGGCCGAACCCCAAAAGGCCCUCCAGGAGAUUCAGGCGGUCAAGAAGAUGGCGGCGGGUAAGGCAUCCAUUAUGCAAAGCAAGCAUGUGAAGGAGACUUUCCUUUUACUUACCCGAAUUCGGAGCUCUCCAGGAGCGUUCGCAGAUCUACCAAGCAGCGUAUCGGAUGCCGCGGAGUUCUACCAGGUCGAGCAAGGGAGUUCGACGGAAAAGUUGUUCUAGUCUCAAUAUACUGGGACCGAAUAUCCGAUGCUCUUGAGCGACCAGCUGAAGCAACUGGUCGAGCUUCACAAGGCGGCGAACUGGCCAUGAAGGGUCUCAUAGUCCGGAUGUGGCCUAGCGAGCCCCUGCCUGGCAGCUACUUCGGCCUGGUAAAGCGGCUUGUGAAUGCCUGCCCACGGUUUGAAGUCAUAAAGCGGUCCGUCUGCAUUGAAGGUGCGCGUAGGGCCUUUGCCCGUGCGAAAGUGCACUGGGCGAAGAUGGACGUCGAAAAGCUGGUGAAGGAGGGGCCACCAGAGGGCAAGCAGCAUCGCCACCCCAAAAAGUAUCAUGACAGUGUCCUGAAGGGUGUCCGCCUUGUGGCGGAGGAAUGUGGUAAGGAUGUAAUAUUUGAAUGAAUGUACUCAUUUGAUCCUGUAAUAUGAAAACGAGUUCAUGUGUGCUAUAUAACGCUUGUCGAUUUAAAAUAUUACCUUCUGUGCGUCCGUUUAUAAAAUCUGAGAGUUGGUCAGUCGUCGGUUUCUGCCCCCAUGUAACUAGUACUGAGGUGUUCAGGAUAAAUCUUAAACACUCUUUAUCCAAAAAAAUUGGUCCUUUAAGGAGGUGUUUAGCGCAGCGAACAAGGCAAUUGGACUAUACAGCUUUACCCCUCUCACUUAGCCAUAGAAGUCUACAAUUUUAAAUUUUGGCGAAGCCCAUAGUAUUCGGAAGGCCGAACUUGGGGCGCUAUAUACGCCUAAAUCAGACAAGGCCGAUUACUCACCCAAAGGGGAAAAAAUCUUUAAGAAUUUGAGACCUCUCGAACAACGACCAGCUCUCGCCGCAUCAUGACAGUCAGUUUUCGGCUUUCUCUACUGAGGUGCUCGUCCGGAAGAACCGGGACACAAUCGCAGUAGUUCUCCCAAUGCUACCUUAGCCGAUAUAGCGGAACGUAAGGUACCAAAACAUGGGAGCUGGGCAAACCCAACUAUUGACCCAAGACAUGAUUCGGAGCUGAUGCAUAUAAUGCUAUAAGUUCGGGCGCCGCACUGUCGAAAGUGUUCGGACUUUUCUUGCCGUGUUAUGGGGUAUACUGAAGCCCCUGGCGCACUGGACGUACCAGAAUGUACGGGUGCAAUUUGUCGUAAAUAAGCAGACAGGGAAAAAAGAUGAAGAAAUGCAAUAAUAAGCUAAUGUUGUACAUUGUUAUUUAAAUGAUACAUCAAAGCAUAUGUAUAAGUAGUGCAAUAAGAAAAAAUAGGACUAUUUGACAUGUCCUAUCCAAGGGCAGGCUGCGUGUGGGUAUGUAAAACAGGUAUAGCGAUCGUUAUCAGAGACCACCUGGGGAUUCCCUUGUACGUCAAAGCUUCUUGCUUCCUUGGUGUUUCCUUCCCGUGAUGGGUCCGAUAAUCAGGGUAUCGGAGAGGUCCUUCAGAGAAUAGGGUCCUGAAAGGAAGAAAAUGGUAAAGAUAUACGGGUCCUGAGGCGGUUGAGCCGCAUUGUGGGCUGUGCCAUAGUCGUGCCUCCACCUAUGCCCAUGGUAUUUUGAGUGCGUAAUUAUGUAUGCGCGGCGCAAAUUUCGCCGCUUGAAUGGGACUAGGACAGAGGCCGAAUUGCUAUGCGAGCUCUGAACAUGCCGGGCAAUCCUGUUGAGGGUACUCCGGACUCGCUUGAAGGUGUCCGGGGGCUUUAUCGCCGAAUUAGCGGUUUGCUCUGUACUUCUGCCGCGAGGGUCGCAGUGUGCUCCUCCGUACGGAGCGAGCGUUCUGUGUUUCCAUUAACUGUUAUAACCCCGCGAGGUCCUGACAUUUUGAGAUUGAGGUAUGCAUAAUGCGGUACCGCAUUGAAUCUGGCGAAUGCGGUUCGUCCGAGCAGUGCGUGAUAGCCACUGCGGAAGGGGAUGCUAUCGAAGAUCAACUCCUCGCUUCGGAAGUUGUCCGGAGAUCCGAAGACCACUUCCAGUGUGAUUGAGCCCGUGUAACAGGUCUCUACACCUGGUAUGACACCUUUAAAGGUGGUCUUUGUGGGUUUGAUCCUCGAGGGGUCGAUACCCAUUUUGCGCAUUGUAUCCUGAUAGAGCAGGUUCAGGUUGCUGCCACCGUCCAUAAGGACUCGAGUGAGGUGAAAUCCGUCAAUGAUGGGGUCAAGGACCAAUGCGGCAGAACCGCCAUGGCAGAUACUGGUAGGGUGGUCCCUGCAAUCGAAAGUGAUCGGAUAAGAAGACCAUGGGUUGAACUUUGGGGCGACUGGCUCCAUCGCAUAGACGUCCCUUAGUGCACGCUUCCGUUCCCGCUUGGGAAUAUGGGUUGCGUAUUUCAUGUUCACCGUUUUCACUUGGGGAGGAAAUUUCUUCUGUCCUCCUGUGUUUGGCGGCCGGGGCUCCUCCUUGUCGUCGCUAUGCAGCCCCUUUUCCUUAUUUUCGGCAUUCAACUUGCCGGCCUGUUUGAACACCCAGCAUUCUCUGUUGGUGUGGUUGGCUGGUUUAUCGGGGGUGCCGUGAAUUUGACAUGAGCGAUCGAGUAUGCAGUCCAAACUGGACGGGCCCAGAUUGCUUCUUUUGAAUGGAUUUUUCCGCUGACCGGACUUAGAGCCACUGAAUCCGGCAUUGACUAUCGUGUCUUCGGCGUUGUCGCCGUUGUUGCGGCGCUUGUGUCUGUUGUGACGUGGCUUGCCGUUGCUAUCUUUGGCAUCUAAAUUGCCAGGAUUUCUUGAUGUGUUGUUGUUGCGAGCCAGCCAGCUGUCCUCGCCCGCACAAAAGCGGGUCAUGAGUGUCGUGAGGGCUGCCAUGGACUUCGGCUUCUCUUGGCCGAGGUGUCGGGCGAGCCACUCGUCGCGGAUGUUAUGCUUAAAUGCUGCUAAGGCCUCGGCAUCCGGACAGUCGAAAAUUUGGUUCUUUUUAGUUAGGAACCGACUCCAGAAUUUCCUGGCUGACUCCCCGGGAUGUUGGGUUAUGUGACUCAAGUCAUCAGCAUCCGGUGGUCGCACAUAAGUGCCCUGAAAGUUGUCAAGGAAUGCGUCUUCCAAGUUCUCCCAACCGCCAAUGGAGUUUGUCGGCAGGCUAUUCAGCCAAUGCCGAGCCGGCCCUUUCAAUUUUAGUGGGAGGUACUUGAUGGCAUGUAGAUCGUCACUGCGGGCCAUGUGGAUGUGGAAGAGGAAAUCUUCAAUCCAUACCGCGGGGUCUGUUGUACCAUCAUAUGAUUCAAUGUUCACGGGUUUAAACCCUUCUGGGAAUUCAUGAUCCAUUACUUCAUCGGUGAAGCAUAGGAGGUGUGUGGUGCCUCUGUGCCAGGCUAUAUCACGACGCAGUUCAUACGAGUCUUGUUUGCUGUAUUCGGCCCGGCCAGAUUUGCUUUUAGUAUAUCCGUCAUGAUGGUCGUCGUCACGCGUUGGGGCGCGCCCCUGUGAUCCGUAGAUCGAUCUUGUAUGUCCUGCUUUGUUUUCCAAUACGUCUCGCGGGUCCUGCGUGUAGCCCCAGGCCUUGGUGUUUCUGUUUGACUGGUGACGGGGCGCGGGCUGGACUUCGGGCUGAUAUGCCGCUUUAUCUCGCCCACGAGGUGGCCGGUCAGCCACAUCAUACGCUGAUAGUGUAGGCUUUAAUGCUUCCUUCUCGAGUUUGGGUAGAAACCUGCGCUUUGGGUAACUUUUGGUUGGGCGCUCGAGUUCGUAUUCCUCGGCUGCCAGAACCUCGGUCCAUUUAUCCGCUAGCAAAUCUUGAUCAGCUUGAAGCUGCUGCUGCUUUUUCUUCAGGCUUUUUGCUGUGGCUAUAAGCCAGCGCUUGAAGCGCUCCUGCUCGACGGGAUCCUCAGGCACGAUGAAUUCUUCGUCGCCGAGGCUCACCUCGUCUUCGGAGAGGGGCAUGUAAUUGUCAUCCUCGGAUUCUCCGUAUGUCGCCUGUUCCUUAGGGCUAGCUUGCCCAUCCUCCCGCUCGAAGCCUGGCUGGAGGGAAUUGUCUUUGUCUUCAGCACUAUCUGCAGCGCUAUUGUCUCUUGUGCCGGUAUCGCUGCUUUUGCUAUGGCGGGGCUUAGAGCGGCGCCGAUGACGCCGGUGCUUAGAUUGCUUCUCGAGGGGAUUAUCCUCCGUUGUCUUAUUGCCAUCGCUUUCUUUGGGGGUGUCCACCAUAUAUAUAUAUCAUAUGAUGAGGUGGCUGUCCAGCGCCCUGUGGGCGGUGGUUCCUGUUCUUCUCCUGCAUCGUCGUCCAUACCGUCGAUGUCUUUGGAGCCGAAAUCAAGCAUGUCGGUUAAGUCAUCGACAUUGGCUAUUAAGUGGGUGGUGGGUGGGGAAUGAAUUUCUUUGUCGUCCGCUUCCCACUCAAGCCGGACAUAGUUCGGCCAAGGGUGUCCUGCCAAGGAGAGAGACCUCAAUGAAUCUAGCACAUCGCCCAAGGGCGAGUGCUGAAAAAUAUCCGCGGAGGUAAACUCCAUGAUCAGUGGCCAAUCAGAUUGGAUAGGCACGGACACAGGCGGUUUGGAGCCUAUGGCCGGGGACAAAUCCAAGGGUCCGGUAACACAUGUCUCAUAGGAGGUGAAGUCAGUAUUCGGCUCUAUCGCCGCUGAGUGUGCGACCUCCGUGGCGGGGUCCAUCCACCCGUCCUCAGACGGCACGAUCUGCUCCGGAUUGAGGGACGGAGUAGCCACAGGUGUGAUCUCCUGAACAUCGUCCGACAGCAUAGCUAAGUCAUGCUCGUCGUGACUGUGCGGUGCACCUGACAUGGGCUCGAAUCCGUCGAAGAUCAAGUCUCCGCGGAUGUCGGCAGUAUAGUUCAAGCUUCCAAACCAGACCUGAUGGCCAGGGGCGUAGCUCUCGAUCUGCUCUAGAUGGCCAAGUGAGUUGGCCCGUAGUACGAAGCCGCCGAAUACGAAGAUCUGUCCGGGGAGAAAAACCUCACCCUGGAUCGCAUCGUUGCUGAUGAUUAAAUGAGCCAUCAAGCCUUUACGUGACGACACAGUGGAACUCUCAAUGAAAGCACCAAUGUCGGUGUCAAAACCGGCGGAUCUCGGGUAGGGGGUCCCGAACUGUGCGUCUAAGGCUGAUGGUAACAGGAGGCAGGGGACAGAAUGUUUACGCAGGUUCGGGCCCUCUCGAUGGAGGUAAUACCCUACUUCCUUCUUGAUUGAUCUUGAUGAUGUGAGUAUUACAAGAGUUGAUCUACCACGAGAUCGUAGAGGCUAAACCCUAGAAGCUAGCCUAUGAUUAUGAUUGUUGUUGUCCUACGGACUAAACCCUCCGGUUUAUAUAGACACCGGAGGGGUCUAGGGUUACACAGAGUCGGUUAUAAGGGAGGAGAUCUACAUAUCCGAAUUGCCAAGCUUGCCUUCCACGCAGAGGAGAGUCCCACCUGGACAUGGGAUGAAGUCUUCAAUCUUGUAUCUUCAUAGUCCAAUAGUCCGGUCAAAGUAUAUAGUCCGGCUGUCCGAGGACCCCCUAAUCCAGGACUCCCUCACUCGGGGAGUCAAUGGGCCUUAUUGGGCCUUAGUGGGAGAGAGGAGGAGGCAGCCAAGGUGGAGGGCGCCCCCCCAAGCCCAAUCCGAAUUGGGUGCCCCCCUUUCCUUCCCUCUCUCUCACCCUUCCUUCCUCUCCUACUCCAACUAGGGAAGGGGAAACCUACUCUCACCGGGAGUAGGACUCCCCCCUUGGGCGCACCAUGAGAGGGCCGGCCCUCCCCUCCUCCACUCCUUUAUAUACGGGGGAGGGGGCAUCCCAUAGACACACAAGUUGAUUGUUUAGCUGUGUGCGGUGCCCCUCCACAGAUUUCCACCUUGGUCAUAUCAUUAUAGAGCUUAGGCGAAGCCCUGCGUCGGUAAGUUCAUAAUCACCGUCAUCACUCCGUCGUGCUGAGGAAACUCUCCCUCGACCUUAGCUGGAUCUAGAGUUCUUGGGACGUCACCGAGCUGAACGUGUGCAGAUCGCGGAGGUGCCGUAGCUUCGGUGCUAGGAUCGGUCGGAUUGUGAAGACGUACGACUACAUCAACCGUGUUGGCAUAACGCUUCUGCUUACGAUCUACGAGGGUACAUGGACAACACUCUCCCCUCUCGUUGUUAUGCAUCACCUAGAUGGAUCUUGCGUGUGCGUAGGAUGUUUUUUUAAAUUACUGCGUUCCCCAAUAGUGGUAUCCGAGCCAGGUCUAUGCGUAGAUGUUAUAUGCACGAGUAGAACACAAAGGAGUUGUGGGCGUGAGUAUAUACAUAUUGCUUUCCGUCACUAGUUGAUUCUUGAUUCAGCGGUAUUGUUGGAUGAAGCGGCUCAGACCGACAUUACGCGUACGCUUACGCGAGACUGGUUCUACCGAUGUGCUUCGCACAUAGGUGGCUAGUGGGUGUAUGUUUCUCCAACUUUAGUUGAAUCUGUUUCAACGAACAUGGUUCUUUCUGAAGAUCAAAAAGCAAUGACUAUACUACGUUGUGGUUUUUGAUGCGUAGGAAAGAACGGUUCUUGCUAGAAGCCCGUAGCAGCCACGUAAAACUUGCAACAACAAAGUAGAGGACAUCUAACUUGUUUUUGCAGGGCAUGUUGUGAUGUGAUAUGGUCAAGAUGUGAUUAUAUAAAUUGUUGUAUGAGGUGGUCAUGUUUUGUAACACAGUUAUCGGCAACUGGCAGGAGCCAUAUGGUUGUCGCUUUAUUGUACGAAAUGCAAUCGCCAUGUAAUUGCUUUACUUUAUCACUAAGGGGUAGCGAUAGUCGUAGAAGCAAUAGCUGGCGAGACGACAAUGAUGCUUCGAUGGAGAUCAAGGUGUCAAGCCGGUGACGAUGGUGAUCAUGACGGUGCUUUGGAGAUGGAGAUCAAAGGCACAAGAUGAUGAUGGCCAUAUCAUAUCACUUAUAUUUGAUUGCAUGUGAUUUUAUCCUUCAUGCAUCUUAUUUUGCUUAGUUCCGCGGUAACAUUAUAAGAUGUUCUCUCACUAAAUUUCAAGGUACACGUGUUCUCCCUGAGUAUGCACUGUUGCUACAGUUCAUCGUGGUGAGACACCACAUGAUGAUCGGGUGUGAUAAGCUCUAUGUUCACAUACAACGGGUGCAAGCCAGUUUUGCACAAGCAGAAUACUUGGGUUGAACUUGACGAGCCUAGCAUAUGCAGAUAUGGCCUCGGAACACUGAUACGAAAAGGUCGAGCGUGAGUCAUAUAGUAGAUAUGAUCAACAUAGUGAUGUUCACCAUUGAAAACUACUCCAUUUCACGUUAUGAUUGGACAUGGUUUAGUUGAUAUGGAUCACGUGAUCACUUAGAUGAUUAGAGGGAUGUCUAUCUAAGUGGGAGUUCUUAAGUAAUAUGAUUAAUUGAACUUUAAUUUAUCAUGAACUUCGUACCUGAUAGUAUUUUGCAUGUCUAUGUUAUUGUAGAUAGAUGGCUCGUGUUGUUGUUCCAUUGAAUUUUAAUGCGUUCAUAGAGAAAGCUAAGUUGAAAGAUGAUGGUAGCAACUACACGGAUUGGGUCCUUAACUUGAGGAUUAUCAUCAUUACUGCACAGAAGAAUUACGUCCCGGAAGCACCGCUGGGAGACAAGCCUGCUGCAGAUGCUACUGACAACGUUAAGAACAUCUGGCAGAGCAAAGUUGAUGACUACUCGAUAGUUCAGUGUGUCAAGCUUUAUGGCUUAGAACCGGGACUUUGACGAUGUUUUGAACGUCACGGAGCAUAUGAGAUGUUCCAGGAGUUGAAGUUAAUAUUUCAAGCAAAUGCCUGGAUUGAGAGAUAUGAAGUCUCCAAUAAGUUGCAUAGCUGCAAAAUAGAGGAGAAUAGUCCUGCCAGUGAACAUAUACUCAGAAUGUAUGGGUACCACAACCACUUGACUCAGCUGGGAGUUAAUCUUCCUGAUGAUAGUGUCAUUGAUAGAGUUCCUCAAUCACUGCCACCAAGCUACAAGAGCUUCGUGAUGAACUAUAAUAUGCAAGGGAUGGAUAAGACAAUUCCCGAGCUCUUCGCAAUGCUAAAGGCUGCAGAGGUAGAAAUCAAGAAGGAGCAUCAAGUGUUGAUGGUCAAAAAUACCACCAGUUUCCAAAAGAAGGGCAGAAGGGAAGAAGGGGAACUUCAAGAAAAACAGCAAGCAAGUUCCUGCUCAAGUGAAGAAGCCCAAGUCUGGACCUAAGCGUGAGACUGAGUGCUUCUACUGCAAAGGGACUGGUCACUGGAAGAGGAACCGCCCCAAGUAUUUGGCGGAUAAGAAGGAUGGCAAAGUGAAAGGUAUAUUUGAUAUACAUGUUAUUGAUGUGUACCUUACUAAUGCUCACAGUAGCACCUGGGUAUUUGAUACUGGUUCUGUUGCUAAUAUUUGCAACUCGAAACAGGGGCUACGGAUUAAGCGAAGAUUGGCUAAGGACGAGGUGACGAUGUGAGUGGGAAAUGGUUCCAAAGUUGAUGUGAUCGCCGUCGGCAUGCUACCUCUACAUCUACCUUCAGGAUUAGUAUUAGACCUAAAUAAUUGUUAUUUGGUGCCAGCGUUAAGCAUGAACAUUAUCUGGAUCUUGUUUGAUGCGAGACGGUUAUUCACUUAAAUCAAAGAAUAAUGGUUGUUCUAUUUAUAUGAGUAAUAUCUUUUACGGUCAUGCGCCCUUGAUGAGUGGUCUAUUUUUACUAAAUCUCGAUAGUAGUGACACUACAAAAAAAGACACAUCCGUGACAUUUUGGGCCGAACGAAAUUUUUCUCUAUCAUACAUAUGACACUUCUAUGACGAUAAUUGUGACAAAACCCGGUAUCAUCAUAGAUGUGGUGGGCUCCUACUUCUAUGACAAAAAAUCAUGACAGAAAAUGGGCUUUUCGUCCUGGGCGGGCCGGAGAUGCAGCUGCAUGACAUUCUUUGGGCCGUCCAUGACGGAAAAAACGUGGCAGAAGCGAGGGGGAGGAAAAUUUCGGGGAGUUCCCGAUUACGGUGGGAGGUCGGGGGCUGAGCGAUGCGCGUUUCUCUCGUACAUGUACGCGCUUGUGUGCGAGGCGUUGGCUCUAACUGAACCCGAGCGAGGCGUUGGGCUCUAACUGAACCCGAGCGAUUGCACUGCAGGCUACGCGUUACUGAACCCGAGCGAUCGAUCGAUGGCUGCUAACUGAACCCGAUCAAGCGAUUCCUUUNNNNNNNNNNNNNNNNNNNNNNNNNNNNNNNNNNNNNNNNNNNNNNNNNNNNNNNNNNNNNNNNNNNNNNNNNNNNNNNNNNNNNNNNNNNNNNNNNNNNNNNNNNNNNNNNNNNNNNNNNNNNNNNNNNNNNNNNNNNNNNNNNNNNNNNNNNNNNNNNNNNNNNNNNNNNNNNNNNNNNNNNNNNNNNNNNNNNNNNNNNNNNNNNNNNNNNNNNNNNNNNNNNNNNNNNNNNNNNNNNNNNNNNNNNNNNNNNNNNNNNNNNNNNNNNNNNNNNNNNNNNNNNNNNNNNNNNNNNNNNNNNNNNNNNNNNNNNNNNNNNNNNNNNNNNNNNNNNNNNNNNNNNNNNNNNNNNNNNNNNNNNNNNNNNNNNNNNNNNNNNNNNNNNNNNNNNNNNNNNNNNNNNNNNNNNNNNNNNNNNNNNNNNNNNNNNNNNNNNNNNNNNNNNNNNNNNNNNNNNNNNNNNNNNNNNNNNNNNNNNNNNNNNNNNNNNNNNNNNNNNNNNNNNNNNNNNNNNNNNNNNNNNNNNNNNNNNNNNNNNNNNNNNNNNNNNNNNNNNNNNNNCCCGAUCAACAGGACCCCUGUUUCGACCGUAGGAGGUCCGUUUCCUUCGUUUUGCGGUACGCCACACCCCUCCCGAUCAACAGGACCCCAUUCCGAACGUAGGAGCUCUGUUUCCUCCGUUUUGCGGUACGCCAGGCCUCGUUUCCAUCGUCUGUUCCGUCCAAGCCCUCCCGAUGAACACGACCAUGCAUUCCGUUCCGACCCACCCGGUUGGCUCCCACGUGUUCUGUUGCCUCCCGAUGAACACGACGCAUUUCGUUGCCUCCCCAUGAACACGACGCAUUUCAUUGCCUCCCCAUGAACACGACGCAUUCCGUUGCCUCCCCAUGAACACGACGACGAUGCUGUUUCUCCGUUCUGACCUAGCCAUGUAUACGAGCCCUGGUCGUACAUAUGCGCGAGUAGGCGUUUGAGACCCCGCCCAUAUGUACACAUACGUGGCCGUAUUUUCUUUCUUGCACCCUAGCCGCUGUACGUACAUGUACAUGCUACGUGCGUGCCUCUACUACGACACGUGCGCGCCUCUACAUCCACCAGUGUAUAUGUACGUACACGUUCGCGACCAGAAUGACAACGUUACGUACGCUUCGACCAGGUGGGUCCCGACUCUCAGGCACUUCCUUGCGUGCGAAGAUGUAGCUGGUGGGUCCCAGCAGUCAGGGGGAAACAUUUUUUCCGCGAAAUACGAUGGCCCGUCCGGUGGGUCCCCGCUGUCAGGUGCAGGAAUAAUUAUUUUACACGUAAUAAGGAGGCACUUCCUUGCUGCGGCCAUGGACCCAGCUGUCAGCCUCUCCACGUGCAGUCCACGUCCGAUGGAAGCCGUUCCUUGACCAUGUUGACCACGCCGCGCCGAGAGCACCAGGUCGGUGGACGGCGGUGAGGCCUAGGAAGGGGACGACGCGAAGCCGGGGAAGACGCGGCAGUGGAUGCCCACACAUAGAGGAGUACGAGGGUUCACUGGUUCGCUGCGGUGUGAGGUUGCCGUCGCCGCAGAAUAACAGAGAGUGUGGGUGAGUAGAGGGAUGGUCUGGCCAGCGGUGGGAGUAGUAGGGGGCGAUGAGGCCUCCGCCGCAUCGCAGCCGGCCACGGGAGGCAGGAGCACAAGGCACGACCGGCGCUGGUUUGGGUGGCUGGAGCAAGAAGACCAGAAGUUGAAGAAGCACUACGGUCGUUGGAUGGACAUCGUACGGUCACUGGAGCUAGAAUCAUGCAUAUUGACUAAGUUGACAAAGCCCUCCAUCCCCGUCAACUUAGUAGGCCCACAAGUCAGCCUACCACUAUACUGGGUCCUAGCUAACAGGGGGAGUAUUCAUUUUUUGUGCGUAAUAAGGAGGCACUUCCUUGCGUACGAAGAUAUAUCUGGUGGGUCCGAGUUGUCAGCGGUGGUAACAUUUUUUUCGCGAAAUACAGAGGCCCUUUCGAUGCGUCCCUGAUGUCAGGUGGAGGAAUCAUUAUUUUGCGCGUAAUAUGGAGGACUUUUCUUGCAUGCGGCCGUGAACCCAGUUGUCGGCCUCUCCACGUACAGUCCACUUCAGAUGCAUGUCGGUCGUUGACUAGGCCGCGCCGAGAGCACCAGGGCGGUGGACGACGGCGAGGCCUAGGAAGGGAAUGACAUGGAGGCAGGGAAGACUCGGCAGUUGUUUCCCACGCGGAGGGGAGUACGAUUGUACGAGGGUUUACUGGUUCGUCUGCCGUCGCCGGAGAAUAACAACAGGUGUGGGUGAGUAGAGGGAUGGCUAGGCCAGCGAUGGGAGUAUGGUGGGGCGGUGAGGCCUGCGCGGCAGCAGAGCUGGCCGUGGGGAGGAGGGAGCAGGCAGUCCCGCCGGCGCUUGUUUGAGCGGAUGGAGCAGGAAGAGCAGAGAUUGAAGAAGCACGACGGCCAUUGGAUGGCCACCCAACAGUCACUACUUGUGCGUCAACCUUUUUUUUAGGAAAUCCUCAAAUCCGUGGAAAACAGCAUACAACCCAUUUGCCAUUAUUUCUAAUAAUUUACAGCCCAUUUGCUAAUUAUUAAGGCUUUUUUGGAGCCCAUAUUCUUUUUGUUAGCAUUACAUCCCAUAUUGUGGCCACGGUUAAAAAAUUAUACGAAAUUUUGCAUAUUUCGGUGCGGUUCGAACUGUUUUUAAUCCCGAAAUUUCAACUCACAUUCAAACUGAUUUUAAAAAUAAAUGUAUAUCAAUAUAAAAUCCAACAAAUUCUCCAUGCAUAAAAAUUAAUGUAAUUUAAAAUCUCGAAAUAAAAAAGAUAUUUGAAACUAAUUGCCGGUUUGAUGUGUUUUAAAAAUGUACAAACCAUUUCUCAUUACUGAUGGGCCAUUUUUUCGGUCAGCCGAAUGAAAGCUCUCCUCGUCUUGAAAGAUUUGCAGCCCAACAGGCCUGACAAAGCGACUUGACAAAUCACAAAAAAACUGGGCUAUGGCCGUGGACCCAGCUGUCAGCCUCUCCACGUAUAGUACUCUUCCGAUGGAAUGUCGUUGACCAUGUUGACCACGCCGCACCGAGAGCACCAAGGCGGUGAACGACGGCGAGGCCUUGGAAGGGGAUGAUGCGGAGCCGGGGAAGAUGCGGCAGUGGAUGCCCAGGCGGAGAGGAGUACGAGGGUUCACUGGUUCGGCUGCGGUGUGAGGCUGCCGUCGCCGCAGGGCCUGGCUAGCGGUGGGAGUAGUAGGCGGCGAUGAGGUCUCAACGGCAGCAGAACCGGCUAGUGGAGGCAGGAGCAGGCGGUCUCCCCGACGCUGGUUUGGGUGGCUGGUGCAAGAAGAGCAGCGAUUGAAGAAGCAGCAGGACCGUUCGAUUCAAAUCCAACGGUUACUGCUGCUAGAAUCGUUUGUUGACUAAGUUGACAAGCCCUGCGUACGCGUCAACUUGGUAGGCCCACAGGUCUGCCUCCCAACCGGUGCGCCCCAGAUGUCAGUGGGAGGAAUCAUUUUUUUCGCGUAAUAAGGAGGCAGUUGAUUGUGUGCGGCCAGGCCAGCGGAGGGAGUAGGGUGGGCCGGGGAAGCCUGUGCGACAUCACAGCGGGCCACAAGAGGAGGGAGCAUGCAGUCCCGCCGGCACUAGUUUAGGCGGCUGGAGCAGGAAGAUUAGAGAUUGAAGAAGCACGUCGGCCGUUGGAUGGACAUCCAACAGUCACUGCUGCUAGAAUCAUGUGUUCACUGACAAAGCCUUGCGUAAACAAGUCAGCCUCGAAAUCUGUGGUGUGUACAGCCCAUUUGCUAUUAUUUUUAUAAUUUUUACUCAUUUUAUAAUUCAUAUGGAAUUUAUUGUAGCCCGUUUUCCAUUUUUAGAAUUGCUGGCCAUUUUCUGGUCAGUACCAGGGUAAAAAAAACUAAAUAUCUGGGAAAUUUUGAAAAUUCGCAAAUUUUUGCUGGGGAAUGAAAUAUUCUUAAUCCAAAAAUUAAUAGUCAUAUUAAAAUAAAUUUAAAAUUAAAUUAGUACUAUGUCAUGUUAAAUCCAAUGAAAUACAUAUAAGAUAUCAGUGAAGAACAAAAACAAAAAAA